AUUUUUAUAAAAUACGAAACAUUUUCAAAUAUAUUCAUACUAUCGUGAUUCAUUAUAAAAAUAUGAUUAAUCAUAUAUAAAUUACUUAAUCCUAAUUUGUAAAAAAGAUAAUUAGUUUUUUUAUCCCUCUUAUAUUAUUUGUGGCGGCAGAAAGAAAAAAUAUGAUUGUUUGAGAUUUUUAGAAGGGCAUUUCUAUAGAAUUCUAACCGUUGAGACUUUUAGCGAAAUAUAUUUAUGAGGACAAAAAUAUCAUUUCACUUAUUCUCUAUUUAAAAAAUACCAGCACUCUAAGAUAGCGUUUGGUUCGGAAACAAGGGGGGAAUAAGCCCUUGUUCCCCCCUUUGUUCCCAAACGAUAUGUUUGGUUUUCGGGAACAGUAGUUUCCGGGUUUCUGGAACAAUCCGAUAUAAGGCUGGAACUGCUGUUCCACCCGUUUUCUAGAACUAGCGUGUUCCUUGAUAAAAACAAGAUUAAUUAAAAUCUAAAUUUAAUUUUAAUGGCAGUAAAUUAUUAAUUAAUCUAAUUAAUAUAUUUAAAUUAUUAUUUAUUACUUUAAUAAUUAAAUAAUUAAUUAAUUUAUUAUUUAUAAUUAAUUAUUAAUAAUUAGAUAAUUAUUAUUAUUAUUUUAUUAUUUAUAUUUAAUUGUUAAUAAUUAGAUAAUUAUUAUUAUUUAAUUUAUUAUUUAUAAUUAAUAAUUAAUAAAUUAAUAAUAUUUAUUAUUAUUUAUUAAUAAUUAUUAUUAUUUAUUGAUAAUUAUUAUUAAUAAUUAUUUAUUAUUAUUAAAUAGAUGAUCGAUAUUAUUAAUUUAUUAUUUAUAAUUAAUUACUAAUAAUUAUUAUUAUUUAUUAUUAUUAAUAAUUAGAUAAUCGAUAUUAAUUUAUUAUUUAUAAUUUUAAUAAUUAGAUAAUUAAUAUUAUUAAUUUAUAAUUAAUUAUUAAUAAUUAAUUUAUUAUUUAUUUUUAAAUAAUAUUUUGAUAUUAAUUAAUUACAUAAUAUAAUUUUAAUUUCAAUUAUAACUCUUAUUCCUUUUGUUCCAAUCUAAUCAUCCAAACACUAUUUAUUUUAUUCCUAGGAACAACUCAAUUUUCAUCCAAACGUAAAAUUAGUCUAGUACCUGUUUAUACCUGAACUUGUAUCUAUCCCUGAAACUAGCAGUUCUUACUUAUACCCGAACCAAACAAUAAUAAACUAGAGGGGCAAAAAUGAAUAUCACCGAAUUUUUAUAGAAAUAAAUAUGAAGAGAUAAAUUUUAUAAGAAUAUAUAUUUUUUAUUCGAUAUGUUUACAGAAAACUGUGUGAAAUUAACUCAAAUAUUUUUACUAUUUAUUUUUAUAGCUGUGAAAGACAAAAUUUUCAAAUGCUAUUGCUUGUUUGAUAAGAAGUGUGAAUACUAUCAUUUUAAUUUUUACUGUAAUUGACUUCAAACGCUAUUUUUAAAAUUUUGAGUUUAAAUCAAAAAUAAAAUUGUGAUGAAUGAAGUAGCUAAAAUAAACAUUUACUGCCAAAACCAUAUCCCCUCUCUCCAAGUAUUAAAAAAUAGAAGAAAGGGGACAAAUUAAACAAGCCCUCUAUAGGCAUGUUUGUUUCACCGAAACUAGACUUCAAAGUUUUACUGAAAUAGACUUUGGAUUGAAAUAAAGUUCGGUGAAAACUAUUUCUUUUUCGAUGUUUGUUUCGUAGUUAUGAAAGUGAAUUUCAUUAAUUCUGUUGUUUAUUUUGGUAGGAAGUGUGAAUAUAAAACUAGAAUUUAUGUAUAAAUAAUUAAUAAAUAAAACUAAUAUAAUUCUAUUUUAUAUAAUUAAAAUUUAAUUUUAAACAACAAAGUUAUUUUUUUAUAUAUAAAUUAUAAUAAUACAACAAUAAAAUUAUAAAGUAAAAAUAUUAAUACUUAAUUAAUUAAUUUUAUUAUAUUUUAAUUAUACAAACUAAAUAAAAACAUAUUAAAACUUAACUAAUCAAUUUAUAUCAUAUUUUAAAUAUACCAACUCAACAAAAAAAGUAAUUAGUAUCAUAAUUAAAUAUAUUUAAAUAUAACUAUUUUAUCUAAUAUAUUAUUUUAUUAUUUUUUUUAUCUCUAUCACCAUAAUUGAUUUUGGCCUACCGUUUUAGGUUAACUCAUGUUUUGACCAUAACCAUUUUACAAAGAACCAAACAACGGUAGUGAUCGUUGAUGGCGAAAACGGCAUUCUCCCUCUUUACUUAAUUCCACUCAAACAAACAUGCCCUAUGUUGUGAAGAAAGUCUAUAUAUAUUGUAGCACUUAUACCACAUCAUUUAUUUUCAGCUCGUCACUUUUUUUUUUUUCCGAGAGCAAAAUAUAAUAAAAUUAUUUUUUAAUAACCAUAAUAAUAAGAUAGGUUGCAGUAAGCACUAAUGGCGUGAACACAAUGGUCCGACGCAGACGCAGAUUCUCAAAGCAUUAUUUAGCACUUCCUUUACAUCUAAUUAAUUAUUACAAAAAAAAAAAGCAUAUUCUGUUUUUUUCCUCUAUCACACUACACUUUCGUAGCGUUCCCUACUUGCUUUUUUUAAAACAUUAUUAUUAUCUGAACCUCACACAGCAAAAGUGAGGCGUGCUGAAUAGUAGUAGACACGAGUUCGUUCGGUGUACGGGCUGGGUCAACACCCGCAGUCAAAGUAAAAGUCAAAGUCAAAGCCGGGACAUGGCAUGCACCUCCUGCACUUGGUUCACCGGUCUACUGUUUCUACCGUUGUUGCCACCAACCACCUUGACCGCCCCUUUCUCCUUUGCCGCCGCCACGGCCGCCCCCUGCGGUGGCGUCCGCAUCCUUUCGUCGAUGCUUUGAAGCGAGCGCGCCUCUUCUCUCAAUACGAACUUCUGUAUCUUCCCCGUCGACGUCUUUGGCAGCUCCUCCAAGAACACCACCUUGCGCGGCGCCAUGAACUUGGGCAUGUUGUCCCUGCAGUAGGAAAUGAUGUCGUCCUCCUCGACCACGCCUCCGCCGCCGUUGGCGUACUCCUUCUUCAGCGCUAGGAAGGCGCAGGGCGUCUCGCCCCACCGCGGGUGCGGCAUCGCCACCACGGCGGCCUCGCGCACCAUCGGGUGGCGGUAGAGCACGGCUUCGACCUCGACGCUGCUGAUGUUCUCGCCCCCCGAUAUAAUCACGUCCUUGGACCGGUCCUUUAUCUCGACGUACCCGUCCGGGUGGAUGACCCCGACGUCUCCGGUGAGGAACCACCCGUCUCUGAACGCAGCGGCGGUGUCGGCCUCGUUCUUGUAGUAGCCCUUCAUGAUGCUGCUCCCCCGGAGGACGAUCUCGCCGAGGGUGGCGCCGUCGCGGGGGACGCUCCGCAUGGUGUCGGCAUGCUUGACAUCGACGUCGCCGAGGCAGAGCGCGCUGAUGCCCUGGCGGGCCUUGAGCCGCGCCCGGUCCUGCACGGGGAGGCGGUCCCACUCGCCGGGCCACUCGCACACCAGCGCUGGGCCCGUGGCCUCCGUGAGCCCGUAGGCGUGCGUCACGCGGAAGCCGAGGCUCUCGAUGCUCUCCAGGAGCGCCGCGGGGGGCGGGGCGCCGCCGGUCAGCACUUCGACCACGUUGGCCAGGGGCCUGCGGUCGGACUCGGCGGCGUCGAGCAGCAUGCCGAAGAUGACGGGCGCGCAGCACAUGUGGGUCACCCCGCGCUCGGCGAUGGCGCGGUAGACGUCGCGCGCCGCCGUCCCCCGGAGGCACACGUUGGCGCCGCCGCGCGCCGCGACCCCCCACGUGAAGGUCCAGCCGUUGCAGUGGAACAUGGGGAGGGUCCACAGGUACACCGGGGCCGCGCCCACCCCCCACUGCAGGAGCAGCGCCAGGGUGCUCAGGUACGCCCCCCGGUGGCUGUACACAACCCCCUUCGGUGCCGACGUCGUGCCCGACGUGUAGUUCAGCGCGAUCGGGUCCCACUCGUCCUCCACCGCCACCGGCGGGAACCUGCCCGGGUCGCCGCUCGCCACCAGCAGUUCGUACUCCGCCUCGCCGAAGCGCGCGCCGGUCGGGGCGUCGACGUCAUCGAUCAGGACUAGGAGAGGGAGGCGGGGGUUAGCACCCGAGCCGGACGCCAGGUGGCGGAUGGCGUCGGCGGCGAGGCCGACGAAUUCGUAGUCGACGAAGAACACCUUGGCCUCCGAGUGCUUCAGCAGCCCGGCCACGUUCGCCGCAUUGAGCCGCAUGUUUAUGGUGUUGAGCACCGCCCCGGCCAUCGGCACCGCGAAGUGCAUCUCAUAAAGUGCCGGAACAUUCGGCGCAAGAACAGAAACCUAUGUAUAUAUAUUUAGAUACGUCAAAAAUAUAUAUAUUAUAAAAAAUAAGAAAAAAAAUACGCGACCAUGCAUUAUAAGCUAGCAUAAAAAAAAUGCGUUACAAUAUUUCUGAUGGCACUUACCACAUCGUUUUUGGAAAUGCCGAGAGAUCGGAGAGAAGCAGCGAGGCGACAGCAGCGGUCGUACGUCUGCUUCCAGGUGAAGCAGGUGCGCUCGUAGAUGACGGACGGGCGAUCCGCGUAGACGGCGGCCGCCCUCCGCAAGAAGGUGACGGGUGUAAGGGGGAUGUAGUUAGCUCCGCAUUUAGGCAAUUGAUCCAUGAGUGGCUCAAUCGAUCUCCUCAACGAAACUUUUUAGGUUACUCGAGUUGGAGUUGAGAGAACAAGGGUGCAGGAGAUGUGUUUAUUAGUUACUAGUGCAAAAAGAGCCAAGAUGAGAGUGUGCGAGUUCUAAGAGGCAGGGUUGUACAUGCUUUAUAUAGAAAGAGAGCGUGGAAUCAAAAUGUAUACGGGCCCACUAAUAUUAAAACCGAUUUGAAAUGAGAAAAUUGCAUUCUAAGUCUUACAUCAUAUUUUUCAGCAUUAAUUACAUCAUUUGAUAUCGACCGUUUCAAAAAAAAAAAAAAAAUACAUUAAAUAAUAUCAAUGAUUUUUUAAAAAAACUUAAAUGAUGCUAAACAGGCUUUAGCAAGUCGCGCAGCUAAUUUAUUUGCUGUUAAUAGUUGAUAGGUAAUUAAUUGGAAAGUUAAUUUACCCAAUAAUUCCCAGUUAAUUGUAAAUCUGAAAAUAAAUUAGAAUGGUAAAUGUUUAGUGUGGGAUUAAUUAAUUUGUGAUAAUGUGAAGCAAAAAUAAGGCCCAUGUGAUUUGUGCAGGGAGGAGGUGCAGGGGGAGAGUGUAGGGAAAUUGCAGGAUAUAAAAAAUUAGUGGGUUGAACGUUGACUGUUGACUGCUGAUGCUCUUACUUUUGGUUUAACGAGUCUUUUCAAGGAAGGAAGGGAGAUAUUGAAAGGAAAGGAUAUAUAGUGGCGAUUUAGGAAUUCCACAAAUCGGAAAAUUACUAUUUUUUUUUUUUGAGAAAUAGAUACCACAAGUGACAAAAGAUUUGGUGAUUGAUACUCAGUCCCAAAUUCGAAUUAUAGUUGAUAAAUAUUUUCAACUAAGCUUAUUUCUAAAGAAAAAUAAACGAAGCGGCCUGUUAUCUUUCUCUAAAAAAAAUAUAUAUUUAGUAAGAAAAAAAAUGGGGUCGUGGUUAUGAUAAAAAUUGUAAAAAAAAAAAAAAAAGUUUACAAUUCAUUUUGAGUUGUAGACCAUAUAUUGUUUAAAUUAAAAUCAUGCAUGCAACAUUUUGGGUGAAACUAAAUUAGUUUCUUUUGUGGAUCUUAUAGACUUAUACUUCCAAUCCAGCAAUCUAAUAAUUUGUAAGUAGAAAAAAAAAUUAUACGUAACUGAGUGAAUAUUGAUGGAAUUAAAAUAUGAAAUGAUAUUAAGAAUUGCUAAAUGUAAUAAUUAGGUUUGAAAGGAUUGGAGCUAAAGUGAAACAUUUUUCAAAUUUUGAGACUUCAAAAUAUCUAACUUAAAAUUUUAAGAAUACGAAAUAACCACUUAAAAUAUUUAAAAACUUAAGCUGGAUGUGAACACUAUUUUACUAUUUUGUAUUUUAAACGUCCCUCACAUCUCGACUUGAUCGAGACUUUUUCUUUUGAGAGAUUCAACUAAAAUAAAACUAUAAGUGUGUAGAAUUUGAAUUCAAUACAUGCAUCCUAUUCUGACCUUUUGUCACUAUAUAUUCUUAAGUAAGCAUAUUUUAUUAAUCAAAUGGAACAUGGAGACAAGUUAAGAAAAAAAGAAAAAAAAAAGAAAUUAGAAAAGAACGGUUUCAAAUAACACGAGACCAUUUUAUCUACCAUGCAUGUGUCUUUAAUUUAUGUGAUAACGAGGCGAAUAGGACAGCCUUGCAUUCAACACUAUAAAAAAAUUAACAUUUAAGGAUACUUUUUUCAUAUUUAUAAAAUACUUAAAAAUGUUCUAAUAUAGUUUAGCAUCAUAUUUGAAAACACUAGUAAAUAAAGAAUCGUCACUUAUAUACUGACGCUUAUGCCAAGCGUCGGUAAAAUAUAUUCUAAUAUUUUAAAGCGUCAGAACUUUUUGAAACUUUUUUAAUAUUCUAACAUCUCCAGCAUUAAAAAAUAAAAAAAUAAUAGUAAAAUUUAUUAUUGUAUAAAUUGAUUUCAUAUGACAGUGCUUUUGAAGCGUCAGUAUUUGCUAUAUUAUGGAGAAGUUUGGGAACGCUUUUUUCAAGUGUCGUCUAAAAAGCAUCAUUAUAAUGAGAUUUUGCUUAUACGGCAAGAUUGUUCCCACCAAAUUUUUGUUUUUAGUAGCUAGUCACAUCCAAUUUAGCCAUAUCUUAUUUGCCCGUCUCAUGUUUGAAAGUAAACUGGACUAACUAAUCAUGAUCAUAUAACCAACUGUUCUUAGAGCAAGUGACAAAGGGCUUAGUGGUUAGUAUCCGAGAUUUCAAGUUCGAAUCCUAAUUGAUUCAUAUUUUCAGCUAAGUUUAUUUCUAAAUGAAAUAAACGAAGCGGGUAGCGUGCUAUCUAUCUNAAAAAAAAAAAAAAAAAAAAAAAAAACUUAUCAUGAUCGUAUGCUGUUCUCCACUUUUCUUUGGAAAAAAGUUCUUAUGGUAAAUGGUCUUUUCGUUCGUUCAUUAAAGGCAACUUGGUGGGAUGGUCUAAGCAAACUCCAGCAACACGAGACCCCGACCAGAAAAAGAGAGGGGAAAAAAAAAAGAAAAAAAGAACUGUUCCACGUACUUCGUUUUCUCCCUCUUUAAUUUUUCCAUUCCUUUUAUUGAUUGAUCGACCACGUUAACGACUUAAGUUGUUGUUGGCGCAUGAACCAUGCAACAAUGUUCAUUAAUAAUUGCUAGGAACUUUCCUUCCCAGAGGUCUUCAAUGUGAUGGAUUACCAAAAAUUGAAAGUCAGUGAAUGUUGGGGGAGCAACGGUUGGAACUGAACUAGGAUCCUGAGAGAUGGUACUAGCUAGUUUUACUCAUGAACCGCGCCCCAGACUAUUUUGGCGCCGGAGCACCGACAGGCGUUUCUCGGUUAGAUCAACCUAUGCAGCGUUAAGCGAAGGGGGUAUAAGGGACGCACACGUGAGCAGGAUUAGGGACUCCAAAUGCCCCUUAAAGUAAAAGUGUUCUGUUGGCUUAUUCUCUGCGAAAAACCUAGUAAAGAGAGGGUGGACAGGGGACACAACUUGUGUGCUAUGUGGGACGGAUCGGGAAACUGUGGACCACCUAUUCACCCGGUGUGUUUUUAGCAGAUUCAUUUUAGUGAUAGGUCUGGAGAACGUUCAAUCUAGGGACCUGGGGAAUGACGUGAUCUCCGUUUGGGACAGGUGGAUGGGUACAUAGGAAAGGAAUACACUAUUUGAGAAACAAUUUAACCGAAUUAGUAGACUACUAGUGGGUCGUUUGGAAGGCCAGAAACGAUACAAUCUUUAGAAAAAUUGAAAUGCACCCGGUGCAAGUAGUUCACAAGCUCAAACUGUUGAUGAAGGAUUGGGAUCACUUCCUCCCUGCAAAGCAGCGCAUGUAGUAGUUGUAGUAGUUUGGGUGGUUGUUUUUUUUUUUUUUUUUUCCUCCGAGGCUUUGACUGCCUCACCUCAGUAGCUUAGUUUAUCAAUCCAAUGAAUGAAGCGGGUAGCGUGCUAUCUUUCUCCUUAAAAAAAAAAAAAAAUAUUUGCUAGGAACUUGUAUUCCACGUGCUUGUGGUUUUACCCUAUUCAAUUGUAAUAUGAGAUUAUAUUUUUUUUAAAUUAAUGAUGUCAAAUUUGAUAAGCCUAGUAACUUAACUAGGUCCCUUUUUUUUUUUCUUAUCUUUGUAUUUUAUAUAGUUUUAAGGAAGUAUGUCAUCGUUAAUUAUAAGUUGGAAAGAAAUGUCACCCCAAAAAAUUGAUUUUUAUAAAAAAUAGUGCAGGAAUUAUUAAUAUAUAAUCUAAUGAUAACCGCUUAAUUGCGCGGAACUUCCAUAUCUUGUGUUUUUACCCCAAUUAUAAUAUGAGAUUAAUCUCCUUCUAACAAAAAAAAUAAAAUGAUAAAUCACUUAACUAAGUAUUUUCAGUUCCUUGAAUUGUUAAGAACUGUUGGUAAGCUAUUCUCUACCUGACAUAGAGUUUUAUUUAUCAGCUCUAAGAGGUUCUAAGUUUAGUUUCUAUAUAUGUUAUUUAAUGACAUAAUUUUUUGUUUAUAAAGUUUUUGUAAUCGGUGCUUAUAUUAUAGUUCAUCUGAUCUUCACGAUGCAUAUAUAUAUAAGUUGAGAUGUUAAGAUUUUUGGAUCAUUUCCUAACAAAUUGAUUUUAGUUUCCACCCAUCGGUCAACAAAUUAAUUUAAUUUUCACCUACAUCAGAUAGCAUGGUGCAUGCACUGUAGCCAAUCAUUUUACUCCAUCAAUGCAAAAGGUUUUUCUAUGGUCAGAGACUCAAGAGUUUCUUUUCGAUUGAUAAUCUCGAGCCACGUACUUUGGUAGAUAUAAGUAAUAUUAUCUUUGAAUUAUUUAUUGAUCUCUACAAAUAUUGAAAUCGUUAAUCCUAAUACGUUUAAGUAAUAGGACAUUGGCGACGUGUGGUCAAUUCAAAUUUUAACCAAAGAAUUUAAACGAAAUAAUUGUUUUGACUAGGUAAAAACCAAACUUCUUUCUUUCUUUAUUUCUUUCUUUCUUUCUUUUUUUUUAAUAUUUGAUUGCUAUAAUGUCUCAUCUAGGGGUUAAGUAUAAAAUUCAAAGUAAAUGAAGAUGUCAAGGUAACAAAAGGAGUGGCGUUUAAUUUUGCAUCUACGCAUGGGAUUGUCAAAUUACAGUAAACAAACAAUGAUGUUAGCACAUAAUUUAAUAGUUUAAAAGUCAUUUACAAGAUAAUUAAACUAUACGUCACCUAAGGCAAUUAAUUCCAAAAUAACGGUUGUGUCAUUUUUUCAAAACUCUCGGGAUAUAUCCCACCAACCAAAAUUGGACUUAUAUGCUUGUAAUAAUAACGUAUAAAUUUUUUUUAUUAUUUUUUUUGGGAAAAACAUCGAUCGAUUGAGCGAAUCCAGGAGCUCUCAGUAUUUUAUUUGUUUUUAUUCUAAAAAAAUUAACGGAUGAAUUUUUUUUUAUUCUUAUCUUUUGUCGUAUGGCUAAUGAUGUAGCGGAUAUAAAACAAUGUGUAUCGUAUGCAAAAAGUAGGGAAGCAAAAUAAGUAAUACAUUGUUUUUAUUAUUCUAUUACUGAAUAAUCCAUUGCCCGAAAAAAUUAUCAAAUGAAAUGAGUCCGAUCCCACACUUCUGGCUUGCAACCGUCUAUGAUACUAACUUUAACGACUCAGUUCAUUGGCGCUGAUAAUACGUUAAUCCUAACCAUUGGUGAAAAAUAUUUAAGUGCAAUUCUUAGUAUUAGAAUUUAUCAAUCAUAAUCUCUUUUUUAUUUGAUGUGAGAUUACGUCACGAAUUAGAACAAAAAAAAGCUAGGGACUAAACCUAUAAAUGUAAUGUUUUGGAUUGGGUUGAUUCUGAUGAUUAUAUCGGAAUUAAAUAUCCUAAGCUUUGUGCAGUUAGAUUGGAUUGAAACUCCCAAACAUGUUGGCCCGGAAAAAAAUAUGCAUUAAUAUUAAGUAUUGCAAAUUUAAAAACUCAUUUUAUAUUUUGGUCAUAAAAAGAUAUCUAAGCAGCUUCAUUUCUCCAAUCACUAUAACAAAAACGGUUUAUAGCGACACUUUUAAAUGUAAGUACAUGUCAAAAAAGUGCUGCUAACUAAAAUUACCGACACUUUUAAAAAGUGUUGCUAUAUGUGGGGUCGCUAGGUAUAUAGUGACAGUUAAAAAGUGUCGCUAUAACCUAAAAGAGUGCUGCUAAUUUACCAACACUUAUUUAAGUAUUUAGCAACCGCCGAAACUCUAUCUCGUUGGCUACGGUGGCGGAGGAGGACGACAGGAAAGGCUCUUCGUCUAGAAUUUCAGUGGAUUGAGUGAAAAGAGAAGAAAAGAUGGUAAUUAAUUUUUUUUUUUUCUUUUCUGUUUGUAAUCGAGCCAAAUGGACUGGGUGUGGUGGGUUGAGUAGAAUAAUCUUUUAUUUUUGGUCGGAUUUGGCUUUAUAUUUAGGCAUUAGUAGAUGUUUUUUUAAAUUUUAGGAUAAAUAGGACACUUAUCCCAAACAUGUGUCCCUAUAACCUAAUUCUGUUGUAGUGAAUGGAGCUCCAACUACUGACGUUAUUUUAAAAGCUAAGUCGAGCAGACACUUAAAAGAUACAGAAGAAAAAAAAAAAAAAAAAAAAAAAAAAAACACCGAGAGCGAACCGUCAAUUGUGAUAAUUUUUGUACAGGUGAUGUUAGUAUUCAUUACCCGACUUAAUCCAGUACAAUUUGGGUGAGGUUUGGUUCUCACAAUUUGGAAAUUUGGGUCUAGUUUUUUUGAGUUGGUUUGAAGUUACAGAACAACGACCUUAUUAGGGCAAAAUAUAUGCUAAUGUUAUUAAAUUACGGUGAACCGAAUUACAAAAGUGAAUAUUUACGAUCGAAAUUUUACUUCAUCCCUUUCCAUUGAUCGAUGAAAAAAACGCGGUUCCUUGUGCUAAGUUAAACGUGACACACAUGCUAGCAUUAAAAUAUAUACACAGGUUAGGAUUUAGGAAUCAAACUUGUGCGUGCCCCUAUGCAGUUUUAUGUUUUUACUGUAGAGUAGAUAUCCCAAGGGACAAAAUGUAGUAUGCCAAAAUUGGCAAAGAAUAGCAAUUUCCUCUUAUCAGUACAUUUUCGAGAAGCCCACAUGUUAGGUGAUGAGAAUGAUGGACCCAUCGCACGUGUUAGAGUGUGAAAAGUGUGUGUAUUUAGAUGCAAAAUCGAAUGAGUCUAUUUGCCUUAUUGGUUCAUUAUAACAAUGCAUGGAGUACAACGUUUGCCACGUGAAUUGAAAUAGAGAAUAAACAAUAUAUACGUACAUAUUUCCGAAGUAGGGUGGGGAACAUGCGUACAGAUGCAAGUUGAUUCGGAUUUACAUAUAGAGCUUUGAUUCUGAUGGGUUCUUCUUACUAGGGCGAAAAGUAGAAGCUAAUUUUUUUUUUUAAAAAAAAAAAACCUCGAAUCAUUAAUAAAAUAAAAUAGUGCAAGGGUAGAGAAUCCCUUUCUUUGGUUGAUUUAUUUCAAUCUAUCAAAAAUUCGCUCCCAUUCUGAUCACUCCCAAAUAAAGCAACAAGUCGAGACAAAAAAUAAGAUAAAAUUUAAUGCGUUGCAAAUCCACUUUGACUUGCCAAAAAAAAAUAGGGCUAGGUGAGAGACCCCUUCUGCCUUCGAAUCUGUCCCGUUUGCAUUCCUAAACACACACACAAAGAUAUAUGUAUAUACAAAUUAUGAAAUUAAAGCACCAUUGAUUGAUUUAAAUCAAAAAAAUUAAAAUAUUAAAUAUAUGUAUGUAUAAUAAAAUUAAAAUUUUGAAAUAAGAUAGUUAACUCAAAAUACUCCAUAGUUCAUGUGAAUUUUAUAUAUUUUUAUCUUUCUAGUAUAUAUAUAAUUUUUGAAAUAAGUCCGAACUAAACUAACUUUAUGUUUGAGAAUUGACUUAUUCUUAAAAAUAAGAAAAAUAACAUUUUAAUAGUUAGAUUGGCAUAGUGGAAUAGGAGUAAUUGAAAUUUUAAAAUAAAAAUAUUUUAUCUAAUUAAUAAUUAUUGAAUAUUAAUAAAUAAUAAUUUAAUCAAUAAUUAAUUAAUUAUGAAUAUUGUGCAAGAUAAUGGAGAGAACCACAUUAAUUAUUUACUUACCUAUAAAAAAUAAGUUAAUAUGCUAAUUUAUUAUUUAAUCAAUUAGAUAAUUAGUUAAUAAACUAAUUAGAUUUGUCAUAUAUAAUACUAAUUGCUUAAUUAAUAUAUAUUACUUAAGGAAUAAGCACAUAAGAUAAUUAAUGAUUUAACUGGCUAGUUAAUUACGCACAAAAAAUUAAUUACGUACCUAGAUAGUUAAUUAAAUAUUUAUAAAUUUGAUGAGUUAAGGGAAUUAGUUAAUAAGUUUUGGUAUACGAUAUAUUUAUUAGUAAUAUUUACAAGCUUAAUUUGUAAUUUAACGACAAAACAAGAAAGGAAAAUAGUAGUCCCAUUCUCAUAAGUGAUUAAUCCCAAAAUUCAGAAAUAAGGCGAAUUGUUGUUUCCCAUUUGUUUGAGAGAAUAAACCGAAAUAAGACCCUUAUUCCACCUUUGUUUUCCAAUCAAACAGCAAACGAGUUUAGUCCCAAAGAGAAUGAAUGUGCAAAACAUGAUUUAAAAUUUUCAUUAUUCGAUUCAAACAAUUCAAAUUCUAAAUUUGACCCUAGUAAAUUACACUAUCCUAUAUGUUUCUAGAUGAAUGCACAGUGUCUUUUUACGUGCAGAGUUUUCACAAGCGCAUGCAUGUCUCUCCAAAUCUUUGAAUAUUAGUUAUUUCACAAGAACAAGAGAUUUUUCGAAACUUUUGCACUAAAAUUAUAUUGAACAAAAUAUUUAAUUUUGAAAGAGGGAAAUAGCAUAUCAUCUGCUUAGUUCUUUUUUAUCUAAAAAAUAAAAUUAACUAUAGACUUUGAACUUAGAAUUUUGAGUAUUAGUCAUUAAAUUUUUUAGCGCUUACGCUAAUUAUAUUAUAAAUACUCAUUAUAUUUUUGGCUGGAGUAAAUCUAUGGGUUUACCCAACCAACUACAUCGAAUUGUUUUGAGUUAAUUCUUCGUUUGUACUAUUACGACCAAAAGCUAAGCUUAAUUAGGCCUCAUAUGUAACUCGUUUUGGAGACAACACGUACGAUUUCAAGCGCAUGAUGUAGAAACAUAUAUGCAUGGGAACAGUUUACUACUGAGUUUCUUCGUUGUACGGCUACGACCCAGAACCAAUUGAAAGACUUAGGUGUGUCAAUAUAGAAACACAAUGUUAACAUAAAGCAUUAAAAACGUUGUUCUCUAAUUACUUAUUGGGUGCGUUUGGUUCGCGCUAUCUUUUAAAGAUUCAUAGUAAUCCAAUGAGAAUAAAAAAAUAUGACGGUGUUUGGCUAAACGCACUAAGUAAUUUAGUUGGUAAUAUUGGAUUCACUUGGGAAUAAGAUUCACCCCAAAGUACUAAUCUCAUUCCCUUGAGGGGGAUGGGUAUCCUCAUAUUAAUGGAUUGGGGUAAUCAUAAUAUGUCUAAUCUUUUUCUUUCUUCAUACCCGCCGGCUAAUUGAUAUUAUUUUUCUUUACACUCUAACCUUAUAUCUCUCUCUAAACUUAUUUUUCUCUCUAAAAUUCAACUUUUUUUUCUCCUCUCUAAACUAAGCUUUCUCUUCUCUCUCUCUCUCUCUUUUUCUAAAAUUUCAACUCUCUCACGUCCUCUAAUUUCGACUAUAUUUUUCUUUUUAUUUUUUAAUAUACUCUCUCUCUCUUAACUUAUAUCUCUCUCAUCUUUUCUAAAAAAAUGUUAAACUUUUGGUAACAUUAUUUAAAAUUAAUUUAAUGUAAUUAUUAAUUAAUUGUUAUAUUUUUGUAAUAUUAAAUAACAUAGAUUAAUAUUACCGUGCGAACCAAGCACAGGAAUUCCACAUUCUUAGUAAUAGGAUGAAUAGGAAUAAGAUUCUCGGAUAUCUUUUAUUCCUAGUAAUCUUUCAUAAUUGCGAACCAAACCACCCAUUAAGUUUUUGGAUUAACGUUGUUUUAUACGAUAUGAGGUAGUGAGUUUAAUCCAAUAAUAUUUUUAGUUACCAACAACAAUUGAGCAAAGUAUAUAAUAUGUGAAACUGAGUAUUGUUUAGUCUUGAGAAAUGAUUCGUACUUUUAAAAAAUAAUAAUAAAAAAGAUCUUAACCGUUGAUUAAUAUAGUAAAAAUGUAAUUUUAAUAUUUAGCAGGUAAAAAGAUUAUUUUAUUCAAGGUUUGUUUGGUAAUUAAACAAUACAACAUUUAAAGAACUUUUAAUUGAGGUCCUAAAUUUAGGCAUUAAUUGCACUAAUUAGAGAAAUUAAUUGAUUAACCAAAUUUAUGCAUUAAUUAGGCAUUAAUUUAGGCAUCUACUUUAAAUGUUUUAGUGUUUCUAAAAUUAUGCAUUAAUUUAAAUUAUAGGAAUUUUAGAAAUAGUUCUAUUUCUAAAUACGAUGAAUUUAAAUUUUAAAUAUUAAAUAUUUAAAAUUUAAAAGUGAAAUUUAAAUUAGAGGAAUUUUGUAUUACUAUUUAAAAAAAUUGUAAUGUUGGUAAAUAUUUUAAUUCAACAUAUUUAAUAUAUUUAAGAAACUUUUAAAUUCAUAUAGUUUAGACAAUAAUUUUGUAUCACUUAUUUAAAAAAUUUUGAAUGUAGGUUAAAAAAUUUAUAAUUUAAAUAUAUUUAAUAUGUUAAAAAAAAAUUAGAGUUGUGCUAGUACUUUAGACAUUAAUUUUGUAUGACUAUUUAAAAACAUUUGUAAUGUUGGUAAAUAUUUAAAUUUAACAUAUUUAAUACGUUUAACAAAAUUAUGAAUUCAUCUUAGUCAUUAAUUUUGUAUACUAAUUUUAAAAAAUUAAAUGUGGGCAAAUAUUUAAAUUCAACAUAUUUAAUCACAAAAUAAUCUAAAUUUCAUUCUUAUUUUAUUAAAAAAAGAUUUAGAAAACAAUAGGUAUGGAAAGAAAUUUUAAUGCAUAGUUUCUUAAAAUUAAACUCGUUUGAAAUAUUAAACAAAUAAACAAAGCGAAAAGAAAAAUUAAAAGAUCAUAUUGUCAAAUAAUUUGAAAAUUUUUUUAUAUGAAAUGCCAAAUUAUGAAAGGAAAGAUAGAGAGAGAAAAAGUAAACAAAGAGAAAAUAAAAAUUUUGAAAAUAUAGUAGAGGUAAAAUGACUAAAUUGCCCAUGUAUUAAAAGAUAAAAAUAUUCUUUUUUGAGAUACCUAGUAAUCGGUACCUCUCCCAAAGUGACCUGCUAUUGCAGGUCACAAUUUAAAAAAAAAAACUAAAUUUGAGCAAUUGAAUACGCAUGAAUAAACGGUAACGAAAAAAAAAAAAAGUAUAGAAGUAUUACUCUAUACAAANUCCAGUACCUUAGACAUUAAUUUUGUAUGACUAUUUAAAAACAUUUGUGAUGUUGGUAAAUAUUUAAAUUUAACAUAUUUAAUACGUUUAACAAAGAGAAAAGAAAAAUUAAAAGAUCAUAUUGUCAAAUAAUUUGAAAAUUUUCUUAUAUGAAAUGCCAAAUUAUGAAAGGAAAGAUAGAGAGAGAGAAAAAGUAAACAAAGAGAAAAUAAAAAUUUUGAAAAUAUAGUAGAGGUAAAAUGACUAAAUUGACUAUGUAUUAAAAGACAAAAAUACCUUUUUUUGAGGUACCUCGUAAUCGGUACCUUUCCCAAAGUGACUGCUAUUGCAGGUCACAAUUUUUAAAAAAUUAAAUCUGAGUAGUUGAAUACGCGUGAAUGAACGGUAAUGAAAAAAAAAAAUAAAGUAUAGAAACAUUACUCAUUAGUCUUUGGCUCUUAGCUUGUUAGUAUCUAUUUCUUUGUAUUUUUUCCUUUUUAAUUCUUCUAUUAUAUAGAGUACACGCGCCUCCUGUACUUUUGAAAAUACGGACACUACAACAAAAACGGUCUAUAGCGACACUUUUAAAUGUAAGUACAUGUCAAAAAAGUGCUGCUAGCUAAAAUUACCGACACUUUUAAAAAGUGUUGCUAUAUGUAGGGUCGCUAGGUAUAUAGUGACAGUUAAAGAGUGUCGCUAUAACCUAAAAGAGUGCUGCUAAUUUACCAAAACUUAUUUAAGCAUUUAGCAAUCAUCGAAAUUCUAUCUCGUUGGUUGCGGUGGCGGAGGAGGACGACAGGAAAGGCUCUUCGUCUAGAAUUUCAGUGGAUUGAGUGAAGAGAGAAGAAAAGAUGGUAAUUGAUUUUUUUUUUUUUUUCUGUUUGUAAUCGGGCCAAAUGGACUGGAUGUGGUGGGUUGAGUAGAGUAAUCUUUUAUUUUUGGUUGGAUUGGGCUUUAUAUUUAGGCAUUAGUAUUUAUUUUUUAAAAUUUUAGCAUAAAUGGGACACUUACUCAAAAGUGUCCCAAACAUGUGUCCCUAUAAUCUAAUUCUGUUGUAGUGGGAGGCCUCCAUAUUUAUAAGUUAUUUUUAAUGAUAGAAUAUUCGAUUUGACAAUUGACUCUGUUAGGUAUAAUCUACGCUAUUGAAACUAUCUGGAAACUAAAUUUAAUAAUCUUUUGAUAUCAUUUACCACGUUAUCAAAAGGUCUCAAAAUUAACUAUUUUAAAAUCCAAAUUACAUAAAACUUUAAUAAAUAUUCAUAACAAGAUCAAUACUUCUGAUUUGAAAUUUAAGUCUUUUAUCACUAUAUUUUAUGAGAUUUUAAUUUACAGCCGUUCAUUUUUAGGCUACUCGUUCACUAGGUAAAUGAAAUCAAAAAAUUGUAAAAUUUAAUUUCUAGAUAGUUCUAAUAACGUAGAUCAUAUCUAACCGAACCGAUUGCUAAUUGUAAAAAUAGUUAAUUUCUUUCUCAGCUAAAUUUCUUUAAGAAAUGAACUCAGUUAUAUGUGGCCGAUAAGAGCGAAUGCAUAUCGUAUACAAUAUUAGUUAAGUUCUAUUUUUGGGAAUAUGAUGUUGUAAGUAGUACCUACUAUCCUAGAAAAAAAUAGAAAAAAAAACUAUUAGGAUUUCAUAACCAACUCAUCAUAACCAAUAUAAUAACUUGUUCCAGUUGCCAAACUAGCCCAAAAUGUAGUUUUAUGGUUGUCUUUUUUUUUUGGAUUUAAAUCGCCUAUCAAUACUAAAAAGAAUACUGAAAGAGAAAUUAUUGCUUGCACCGGGUAUAUGAGUACAUCUCAUGCACCACACCUCUAAAAUGAAUGCUAUGUUAUAUCAAGACCUUAAAAUUAAAAAUCUAACUUAUUAGAUAUGUUUUAUAAUUUUGGGCUGUCGAUUUUGUUGUUAAUGAUUUUUAAACUUCUACCGCAAAUCGCAUCUAUUUGGUUUGGAUUUUUUUUUGAGAGAGAGAUAGGUAACACGCUACCCGCUUCGUUUAUUUCAUUUAGAAAUAAACUUAGCUGAAAAUGUGAAUCAACUAGGAUUCGAACUUGGGACUUCGGAUACCAACCACCAAGCCCUUUUCCACUUGCUCUCGGGAUGGUCGAUUUUCGAAUUUGGUUUGGAUUUCUAAUUUUACGAUAUUGAUCAUCAAAUUUGGGUGUGGUGCAUGAUGCCUGUGGAUACACCAAGUUCAGGCUUAAGAGCUAGGCAUGGGCCCAUAACUAGGCUUCCUCACUGAGGCCCAGUUUGACUAAAAUCCAAACUAUAAUCAGGCCUAAUUUUUGGGCCAAUUUUGGCACCAAAGUAUAUUUGAGAGCCCAAACGCACGGCCCAACUAAGGCUCUGGACCAUGGGCCUCAUUUAGGCCCGGCCCAUGUUCUGUUUGUAUGGAGCCACAGUAAACUUGUAUUGCUGAUUCUACCAGAUUUUGGUUUUAAGUUGUACUUUUGAUCUGAUUAAAAUGGAAAAGUGCAUUUUGUAAUUGUUUUCUGCCACUUUAAAUUGAAACUUUGUUUAAACUUUAUUGCUCGGUCCAGGUACAGUUUUUCUUACACUAGACACUCACGUGUGCGCGGUGGGAUACGGUGAGUCAUGCCACAUGCAUAUACGGAAGCGAUAAUAAAAGAGACGGCAAAAAAAAAUAAAAAAUAAAAUUAAAGCCCUGUUUAGAUAUCGGUAUAAUUUUUUUUGUGCAACUGAAAAUAAAUAAAAUAUUAAUGUCUAUGAUUUGCUAGAAUAAUAUAUUUUAUUUAUUUGAUUGUCAAACAUAAUAUUACUUCUCAUCUCUAAAAUAGUGUAAGUUUUUUAAGUAUAAAUCAAAAUGAUAUGUAGAAUAAUUAAGAAAUUCUUACGUUCAAUGAGGGCCUAAAUCACUAAAUAGCGAAUGUGACGACCUCUUGGAACUGAGAGAGCAUUGGAUCAGCUCUCAUACCAUGUUACAAAAAAGAUUUAAUAAUUUUGUGGAAAAUGAUUAAGAUAUAGUUUUAACAUUCUUUAAUAAAUGGCUUUUCUUAUCUUCUCCAUGUAUAUAGCAUAGUGGGAUAAGUUUGGUGUCAAUAUCAUCUGACACUACCCAUGUAGAGGAGGCAUUCUUUCUAACUACUAUGCGAGAAUAUGAUUUUGGGAUUGAGGUGCUUAAAAAGCACCUGUCUUAAAAAUUUCCAAAGUGUUUUGAGGAUUUUCUACUUUAAUACUAUAAACUAGUGGGUGGAACAUUUGCUUCUUUCGUGACAGUUUCUUCUAUAAUAAUUUUAUAAUAUUGAAGAAGAAAAGACUAAAUUUGCUAUUGAAUUUUCUUGUAUCUUGCAAAAUAUAAAAGUGGGUAUACUAAUAUUGUAAUUUCAAAUUAGGUGUAACUAACAAUCAAAAGUAAUUCGGGACAUGUUUGUUUCAUCGAAAGUGGAGCAGGGUGAAAGUAUUUUCAACCGUAAAUGCUCACUUUCGUCAUCUGAUUUGGCGUAAAUUCAAUUAGCCCGUAAUUCUACUUUUCUAAAAUGUCGUAACUGACUUCGCUCUAAGUGGCUUCCAAGUUAAUUACUGAAGAAAAAGAGACAGAAAAAAGUAGCUAAAAAAGUUGGUGCCAUCAUUUUCAUCUGUCUAUGUACUAUUGUUGAAAUUUUCAAUAAAAUAAAUAAAAAAAAAGGGAGAUGAUCAAAAGUUUCAAAUAUAUUAACUUUCUACCGAUCAAGCAGCCAAAACAAAUAUUUUUUUUCAUCUUGUACUUCAAUUCAAUUAAAAUUUUUUUUGUUCAAUCUAAAAAUUACUUAGCACAAACAAACAAGGUACCUUGGCACAUAUUGAAGAGUAUCUUAUCUAAAGCAUUACAUGUUAGUACUCAAGCUACAUGGAAUGGAUAUAUGGGGGAUCUUGACUGGUGUGUUUGACCGGAUGGGGACGCCCCCAUCAUUUGCUGCUGCUGCUGCUGCUGCCGCCAGCGGCAGCAGCUGUUGCUGUCAGGCUGAGAGAACUGCUGCAGCUUCUGACUUCCCCACACUGAGUGGCUUCUGCUUCUCAGGGAUGGGGUGUAACCCAAAUUGGGCUUUUCCCCACUUCCCCAAAACCACCCCAAUCCCAGCCCAGUGAAAAAUUCUAUAAUGCAACAUGUAUAUUCGUGACGUGGCGUAAACAAAUCAAUCAAAUAUCUUCUUAAUUUUAGAAAUAUAUAUUUCAUCAUGAUUGUAAAAAAAAUAUUUUUAUUGUGCUUUUGUUUGAAAAGAAGAAAUGUGAUUGGCUUGUUAUUGAUGACGUGGUGCAAGCGUGACAGUGUAGAAUUCCUCCUGCCCAGUUAAUAAUCCUCAAGCAUUUUUUGUACCAAUACCAAAUUAUUAUUUAUAAUUUCACAGAUUCAUUUACUUGUCUAGCCUCUUUAGAAAAAAAAAAAAUUUACCUAGCCUCCUUUUGAAAAAUAUUCUCAAUCUAGCCUCAUUUUUAUAGAUUAGAAAAAAGAACGAUAAGUGAAUAAUUUUAUAUAGAUUAAUAUGUUAAGUGGGUGGAGAUUAUCUUUUUUCUCUCUCCUUUUAAAUUAAGUAAAUGUAAUGUGAUUUUAUAUAUGAACACUUAAUAAACAAUUUAUUUAUUAAUAAUAAUAUUUCUAAAUUAUAAUUUUUUAUUAGUACUACUAGUACUUAAUUUGAUUAUACAAGUCAAUAUAAUUUAAAAAUGUUUUUAUAUAAAAUCACAUUACAUUCACUUAAUUUAAAAGGAGAGAGAAAAAAGAUAAUCUCUACCCACUUAACAUAUUAAUCUAUAUAAAAACUUGUGCUCUCGAGAUUCUGUGCACUACACUGUAUUAAUUUGACAUCAAUUACUAUUUGUGGACUACUGGAGGAUCUAAAGUGGAGGCUAUCAAUAUCAUGAAUAAUGAGUUGGAUAAGUUGAAAUGACCACAUAUUAAAACAAUAAGUUAUGUGAUUCAACCCUAUGCAGCUUUUGUAGGGGAUAAGUUUGAGUGACAAAGCUCAAAAAUCUAUUCACUUUCACAUUUACCAGCUAACUUAUUUUUCUCUACAAAAGAAAAAAAAAAAAAAAAAAAAGCUACUGCUCGUAGUAUAUAUGCUCUUAUUAGAAUCAACAAAAUUUAAGAAUACAUUUUUCGGUGCUUCUUAGUAAUAUUUACUGCAACUGAAGAAUUGGUGAGCGAAAUAUGCUAUCUUUUUCUCUUUGUCUUUAUAUUUAUAGUGAGAGGAUACUUGAUUUCUAAAAAGUUGACUAUUAAUCUACCAAAAAUUUGAAUGCUUGAUCUUAUUUAGCAAGAUUUAAGAGUAUGUAGAAUCGUAGAUACUCUAAAUAUUAUUCUAAAUUGAUAUCUUAAGUUUUUAAAUUUUUUUAAAAAAUAGUUAUUUUAUGCAGAGAGGGGUCGUGACUCGUGAGUUCAUAUUGAUGGCUUAAAUUUUAAUAAAAAAAAUAAGUAUUUCAUAAUGUUCGCACAAUUAACCCAUUUUCUUCUCAGAAAGUGUAAAGUGACAAUACGUAAUUAAUUAAUAAUUACUCCGCUCAGCCAUUAAGCACUUGCCACUUGUCAACACCCGAUUUGUCCAGCACUCAGCGUACAUGGCAUCCUACGCUACAGCUCAAAAUGCAUAAUAACCCAUGGAAAUAAAGCGCACAAAUUAAAGUCCACUGUAGUAACAGGUUUUUUACCUUCGCUGUGACGCACUGAUCGUAAAGCGAGUUUGUCGCCGUCGAUCAUCUUGAGCGACUUAAAUAUAUAUAUAUAUGUAACGGCCGUUACUGCUCCGUUCCAACAUCCAGCACCAACUCGUAAAAAGUGAACGGAGCCGUUGCGGCCAUGAACCGGGACGUUAGUGUCGGUGGGUUGGUAGUUGAAUUAAUGCGUGGACCGCGGUCCAUAGUCCCGAGAACCUCCUCCCAAACAAAAACCUUCGCGUAUGAAAAUGUAAGAAUUUAGAUAUGAUACACACCACAUAAAAGGCUUUUUUUGGCUCUCUCUCUCUCUCUCUCUCUCUAUAAAAGAUGUCUAUAGUCUAUAAAUCACAUGCGAACAUAUUUUUUUAUUUGAAAUAGAAUUUGAUCUGAGUGACAGGUAUGUGCUACUCUAGUCAGUGGGAUAGUAAUAUUAAAACAAAAUUUUCAUAAUAAUUUUAUCUUAUAAUAAAUAAUAGGUUCUUAAACAUUAUUAAUUAUGUCCUAUUUAGUUAGUGUUUAUAUAAAUAAUUUUUAAAUUAUAUUUAUUCGUCAUAAACUAUCGAGAUAGAUUCACAUUAGUAGAAUAGAAUGGAAGACUAAUAGUGUAACUUGAUCUUUCUCUAUUAUACUUUGUUGUAAAAAACUUUGCAGCUUAGAGAAGUUAUUUUAUGGAUUGAUCCACUUUGUUAGUCAAUCACAAAAUAAUUAUUUUAUUUGUAUAAUUCACUCCCUAUUCUUUACUACUUUCGAACCAAAUCAAUUAAUUUCGUUACAAAAGAAUUACUACUCACUUUAUAGAAGAUUAAAAUAAGAAAUGUGGCAGGUGGACCAGGUUCAGGGAACAAUUUCUCCCAGGUCUUGGUUGUUGACCGCGGUCCAUAGUAAUAAUAAUUCUUCGGGGGACAUGGCGACAGAUGAAGGGUAGAAUCGUCAUUUGGAAAAUCUAGCAGGGGUAUUUUCGGGAAGUGGGAAAAAGAGUGUGGGAGCCGGUCAAACGAGUUUGACUACGGCCCUGAUCGCAGUGACAGCCGAGAUUGUCAGGGCCCUUUCCUGACGCAGAAAAAGGGCGCACCACAAAUACACACAACACCAAAAACCCCAUACGGUAAUAACAAGUGGGGCCCACCUGUGACAGCCAAUAAUGUUGCUCGGCUUUUAGUGGACGAGUUCUUUCGUGGUCCCUGUGCACCACAUCAUCGUGGACCGCCUAUCCAUCAAGGAUUUGGUUAAGUGUAAAAUAACAAAAAUUCACUUAGAUUUUUCAUUAACACAAACUGAUUUGGUAUUGCUGUAUGUGUUAGAAAAUUUUGUACAUAGAACAACUCAUUCGUCCUUUUACAGAGAAUGACACUACACACGGAAACAUCUAAUACGCGAAUUUGUAAAAAAAUAUUUAUAUAUAUAUAUCUCUUAAUAGAAUUGGUCAUAAAUAAAUUCUUAUAGGCCUAUAAGUUAGACAAUUUAGAAAUGACGUGGUGGACCGGGUCUAUAUGUGUAUAUAUACUUUCGGUGUGCUAUAGCUCAACGUGAUUUGCUGUGUUAUGUAUUUAAACUAGGAUUAAUUCUAUAUGGUACCCUUUGGUUUGGGUAUAAGCAAGAACUAACUAUUACAUGGAUAAGUAUAAGUAUGAGGAUAAGAAAAAUAGCGUUUGGAUGAAAAUUGGGUUGUUUCCGGGGAUAAGAAAAAUAGCGUUUAGAUAGAUAAUAUGGAAUAAGAAAAAUAUUAGAUAGUUUUAUAUAGAAAAUAAAGGUAUUGGUGGGGAUAGUUAUAACCGGUUAUUAUAAGUAACCGAGAAUUACUGUUCUUAGAUAAAAAAUUAGCGUUUGUGUAUAAAAGGGGGGAUAAGGGCCUAUCCCUAUCCCUAUCCCUGUCCCCUAACCAAACACUCUUGUAAAUACCGUGAAUGAUAAAUAUAUUCAUACAAAGUUCAAUUUUUAUAUAUUCUUUCUGCAAAAGUAUUGAUGUUUUCAGAUAUGCCUAUCUGAUUUGUUACUAUUAGAAAACUGUUUAUAUUUGUAAUUUUGCCAUCAUACAUAUAUCUCUCCAAAAAUUAUAAUAAUAUAAUAUAAAAAAGUAAAAAUAUCAAAAACUAAUUAGAAUUAAGUAUUUAAUUUAUGAUUAAUUAAAAUUUUCUAACGAAUUCUAAUCACAGGAAUAUAUUUAAAAAUAUCAUAAUUUUUAUAGAAACUGAAAAUUAAAUUUUAUAAGAAUAUAUUUAUUAUUUACUAUAUUUGCCGGUUAAACUAUCAUAUUAUAUGCUUUUACAGUGAAUCAGACAGCCGCAGAUCAACAGUAGCCAAUCAGUGCCCGUCUCUUGGAAUUUCCUAAGUUACUAAAAUGCCCCUCCGUCUCAGAAAACGACAAAACCCACACAGCGGGAACGUGCUCUGCGUAGAGCUCUACGCAGGGUAAAUCCGUAAUUUAGGGUGUCGUACGAGGGUACUUUUGUCUCUGCGAAAAGUUGUCGCCCGCACGGGUCCCGGUUUGACUGUAUGCGUGGAAGAGUUGAAACUUUUUUUGUUUUUUCACUUCUUUUGCUGCGUAAUUCAUUUGCGCACUAAGGAUUUUGUAGAAUCAUGGUUGUAGUAAUUUGCUACAACCCGAUCGAAUAUGUACUAGUAAUGACUAAUGACAAAUAGUACUUAUUUCUAAUAUAAGGUGUGUGAAAAAUUCUUGCAUAUUAGAUUUUUAACUAUUCAUUAAAUGAGGAAUGCUAUUUUCGUCGUUCAGCUCCAUAAUUUGACCAAUCAUUGUAUUCCACGAAUACUGAAAAUUAUUUUCUUCAUCGUAAGUGCAACAAUUUUAUAUCUGUGAAAAAUUAAUUUACAGCUCUAUAUAUAGAUAUGAUUUUUCAAUUUAAGAUAGUAACGGUACAAUGCUAUGUUUAUUUGGGAAAAUUCUAUAAUGAUUAAUUACAUUAGUUAAUGUGGUAGAUGAAAACGAUGGUAUGAUUUAGUGUAGGAUGAUAUCUAGGAUAACCAAAAUGAAAUAAUUGUAAUCUAUUGUAUUAGUGUAGAGUAAAAUGUAGUAUAUCUUUUUAAUCAAACAAAAGAUUUUUUUUUACUGCAAAAUUGCCAUAACAUGUAUUCAUGAUAAAACACAGGAUUGUGGAGUUGUAGUUCACUAGUUUAGAGAAUGAUACUUAGAAUUAUUAAUGAUCUACAAUAUUUAAAGUUGCUAUGUAUAAAAAAAAAAAGUCUUUUUUUACUCUUUUGCUUCGUAGAAAAAUUAAAAAUUUAAAUAACAUUAAUCAGAAGUGUGAAAAUUAACCAUCAUAAUUAGCUAGAUUUACAUGUUUUUAUAUUGAAAAAAACACUAUGGGAACUAUUUUAAAAGCACAAAAUUAUUUUUCUAUUAAUUUCUAUGAAACCAAAAAAAAAAAUACUGUUAGUUUUCAGGAUUCUACCUGCUUAAGUACAAUCCCGGUUGUACCGUAUCUUCUCCCGGCCUAUGAAAACUGAGCACCUAAAGGUAAAGAAUUUUAGGACCACGGGAUAGACGGCCCAGAUGGUGGGCCCUGCUGAUCGUACGGCUGCGGUCGAUCCGCAUCAUGCUGCCACGGUGGUCUUCGGUGUGCCGAGCAAUUACAACCGUUCAGAUCCUCGCAUGCGGGUGUCCGCACGAGUCUUCCACACGUGUCAGCCUCACAACACGCGAUGCGCAAAAUUUAAUUACAGUAGAGAACUGUAAAUUUGGACUCAUUUGCACAGUUUUUUGUUUUUUUUUGUUUUUAAGUUGUGUGCUGCGCAUACACUUUCAAUUUUAGGACAUAAUGAUUUUGAAUUUUAUUGUUGACUUUUACAAAUUUUAUUUUUAAUAAAUUGAAUGGUUUAAUACAAAUUUCUAUUGACGUAGAUAAACUCACUUAUUUUAUUUUAUUUUUACUAAAAAUUGUAAAAAAUAAAUAAAUCAUAAGAUCAUAUGUACAAGAUUUACACCCUCUAAUAUUGGAGACGUACGAACUAUCUAGUAGAACUGCCCUACAGUGUAAAUACGAAUAUACCGUAACAUUUUCUUUUUUUUUUCAAAUAAUGAUAAGAUAUAAUCCUAACAACGAGGUCAAAUUAGUGACACAACUCUUUUUUGAUUUACACUGACAUAAUUGACAUCAAGAAAUGAAUAAGUAGUAUAAUCACUCGCAUUAAAAGCAAAAAUCGAAAGUCAGAAACUGUAAAAACCAAACAUAGCACCUAUAACCAAAUAUAUAAUUAUACAUAAUGAAAUAAUUUUAUACAUUUUUUUUUUCUUGCUGCAAACGCUAAAUUCUUUUCCCACACAAGUUAAAUAUUUUAUUUUUUUUCAAACAAGUGAGCGACUAAACUAUUUUUUUUUCAGAAAUAACAUGUGCAAGAAUCAAACUAGUGAUAUGAUCAGCGGCUUAAAAUAUCAGCGGCUUAAAAUAUCAACCAACUGUACUGAGUAGAAAUAUUAUACCAUUUUUCAAAUUUUAUUACUCAUGAGAAAUCAAUAGGGCCUUAUGUACUACUUCAAAUAUUAAUGAUAGUAAGAUUCUUUUUAUAUGAUAUUAUAUAUAUAUAUAUAUAUAUAUAUGUGCUCUCUCAUCCACACAACGUGAUAAUUGAACACUGCUGCUACUGUACGUUACGAAUCACGCAAUGUACGUUUCCACGAACAAGUUUGUCAUUUCACUUUGGAGGGCAAUUUCGUCAUUUGAGAACUCGAGGGGGUGUGGGCCCCAUCUUCAUACAAGGACACGACACAGUCGCCACUGUGCGCCCUGCGCCACACAUGAUCAUAACCGUCCCCAAUAUCGAGACCAAAAAGAAAAUAAAUAAAUAAAUAGCGAAAAAUUAAUUAGUAAAUGAAACACACUUUAUUUUAUUUUACAUUGGUAAUUCAAAAAUAAAUUAGUAAACGAAACAUACUUUAUUUUAGGGGCAAUUUCAUUCGUACCCCUGGAAAGUUCAAAAUUAACGUAGAUGCCCUUACAUAAUUUGAAAUAUCAAAAUUGCCCCUACAAAUAUAUACUUUGUUUCAAAAAUACCCUCAAUUCAUUUUAAUCUUAGUUAUACCAUGAUAUAAUAAAGGUUAAGAAUAAAAUUAUCCAUUUUGCCCCUAAACUGUUGAGGGGCGUAUAAAUGUACGUGGUCCAUUUUUUAAAAAAUUUUCUUUAUCCAUUCAGAUUUUAAAUAUUGUAAUCAAUUAAUAAAGAAAUUCAAUUAAUAGGUAAUUAGCUAAUAAUAAUUAACUAUUAAAUGAAUUUAUGCUAGUUUCAACUGAAAAUUAGUCAAAGGUAUUAAAUUUAAUAGAAUAAUUAUCUUAAUUUGUGAAAAUUUUUCAUCAUCUAAAAUUUUUUCAAUUUAUUAUUUAAAACAAUUAUUGGUUUAUGUAAAGUCCGUUACAAGAAUUUAGUUUGUCCUUUUAUAAUAUAACUAAUUUUUUUAUUUGAAGUCAGAUUUUAUACUAAUGCUCUUAGUUGUAAUGUAUUCAUAGUAACGAAUUUUCUCUAUGUUAAGUAGUCAAAUAAAAAAAAUUAUUACUUUACAGAAUAAAAUUUAAUUUAACUAUAAUUUAUUCCCAAUAGAAAUAUUUAUUUAAUUAAAAUAAAUAAUUUUUUAAACUAAAAUCAAUUGAAUUUUACUAAAUUUUUAGUCUAGAUAGAAGUUAAUUAAUUUUGAAAUAUAAUAGAGGGUAUUUAUGAAAUAGAAUUAUUAAUUGACCAAUGAAUAAUUAAGAAGGGUAAAGUUGGAAUAUAAAUAUUAUUAACUUUAAUAUUGAUGGAGAUUUGAUGGCAAGGGUAUUUUUGAAAGUUUUUUAAAUUUGAGGGGGUAUACAUGAUAUUUCAAUUUUUAAAAGGGUAUUUAUGAAAUUAGAUGCUUUUAGAAGGUUAUAGAGGAAAUUUUCCCUUUAUUUUAUAUUGGUAAUUCAGAUAAACCCCUAACCUUUUGCGUAAUGUUUUAAAGAAACCUUUUAACUUUUUUUCUCCUCCCAUGAAUCUCCGAAUUUCUUUUUUUUUUCAAUUAAAAUUCUCAGUUCGCAUUUUAUUUUUUCAAAAAUCUUAAAAUAUUUCAUCAACAAUGAAUACUUUUCUUCUUCUAUUUUCACGAAUUAAUCAUUAUAAACCAUGUAUAAAAAUUCUUUCAACUGAACAUUCUCUGCUCUUUUUUUUAAAAAAAAAUUUGCAUACCAUAAUACCUCAAACACGGGGAGCUUACAUAAGAGAGGACAAAAAGUUAGGGACUGUCGUAAAAUUAUGAGAAGAGUAAUGGACCUCCCAAAAAAUAUUACCCUAUAUACAUUGAUGGUUCAUUUCCAUUCCAGUCCGAAUGUUUUCACCAAUCACGCGGGGGUGAUCAAUAAAAAAAAAUAUGUAAUGGAUGGAGUGUAAAAUAUACACUAUUACUCUUAUGAUUAAUAUUGUUAUUAUUGACGGGAGGAGUCGGGGCAGCGGUGGUCAGAGACGAGGGCGUGGAUGGCGGCGGAGAGGUUGUUGACGGCGGAGACGAGGGCGGCGAAGCCCUGGCGGCGGGUGUCGGCGCGCUGCUCCUGGAAGCGGAGGCGGCGCUCCUCCAGCGCCACCAGCUCCUGGUGCCGCCGCUCCCGCUUCUCCUCGCACGCCACCAGCGUGCGCGCCAGCACCGUCGCGCUCCGCACCACGCUCGACCCCACCCGCUUCAUCACCUGCCGCCGCCGCCGCCGCCGCCGCCGCCGCUGCCGCUUUCGCUCCGGCUCAUCCGCCUCCCCCCCAGACUCCCCCUCCGUCGACGACUCCGACUCCGACUCCGACUCCGACUCCCACGACGACUCCGACGCCUCCACUGCACAGUGCCCCAAUCAAAAAAUAAUAAAUUUUGCAAUGCUCAACAGUUACAUGCAAGUAAAAUCACAACGCAACUAAUAGUCACCUACACUACACAGAAUCCUGAUCAAAUAAUGGAGAAUUUUGGUGAUGUUCGCUUACAAUUACGUGCAAGCAAAAUCAUAACAUAACAUCUGUGCGAUUUGAAGUGCUGGUUGAUUGAACAGAGUGUGUUCCGCGUAUUCAAAUUAAACAUAAGCAUGCAAUUCCGAGACCACGGUAUUUCGCUCAAAUAAUCACUAACUUUCACGUAGUUCUAAACAAAUAACUCAGAAUUUUGCUACGUCCUCCUACAAUUACGUGCAAGCAAAAUCAUAGCAUAACGUGCGAUUUGAAGAGCUCUUUGGUUAAACUGCGUGGUAUUCCAUGCAUAUUGUAAUUUUACAUAAUUCUGAAGACGCCAUAUUAAUUUUUUCUUAAAUAAUUACUAAUAGCCAAUAGUAAGUUUAAUAAAAUGGCGAUUUUAUAAUGUUGCCAGAGAAUAGUUAGAGUGGUAAAUAUGCACAGAGACCCCUUAACUAUAUAAUAAUAUAGAAUUGAGAUGGUCACUCAACAUUAUAUUUCUUUUGCUAUGGUGAUUAGAUGUCUUAAUGCAGAAUAUGAUGUUGGAAAUUUUGAGCCCAUAUGAGAGUUUAAAUUUGAGAUUCACGUUUAAAAAAGCAAUUGGAUAAUACGCUGCUCGGCGAAAUCACAUCAGAAAUAAAAAAAGCUUUUUAUUAUUUUUAAAAUGUAUAUAUUUUUUAGCUAGUGGAAGUGAGACUUUGUUUUAUUAUUAAAUUUACAACAAUUUUUGUUGGAUUAAGUAAAACUUUUAUUUUAUUUGACUAUAAAUUAUAUAUACUAAUAAAAUUACAAGUUAUUCCAAAAUUCCAAAAUAGCCAGUAGUUGAUGGAGUAUUAUUCGUACAUUUUUAACUUAUAGAGAAAUGAGACCUUGGCUAAAAUAAUAUUUUUAGGAUAAGGAGUUUAAAAAGGAGCGCUUUUGUAGCUUUAUAGGAGUGGUAGUAUUUUAAAAUGAGAAAUUAUGGUAUAGGAGUUAAAGAGGAAAAAGUUUGGUUGUACGAUAAGCCUAUAUAUUAAAAAUUGUAUUGAAAUCUGAUUCGUUCCUUUCCCCGUUUCUUUUAUUCGUUCCAUUGAAAGCUUAUGCAUGCAACAACAGCUUUAUUUAAAAGCCAUAAUACUUUAUUAUAAUAUUCCUUUUUAUUUAAUUGAGGAAUAAAUGGAGGAUGAAACAGUGGAUCAGAGAUUACGAUUUGUAUAAUGAUCACACACAACCGUUACUUUCAGUUUGUUUUAUUUUAUUUUAUUUUAUUUUCCUAAUCCUCGUGACCUUUUUCGCUGUUAGUGAAGUUUAUGGAUGGGUGCUUCCACAUUUCCGACUAUUAACUUGGUCCCAGUAAUAUUUUUUUAUUUGGUACAAUUUAAUUUUAAACGAUAAUUAAAACUAAACUUAAGAUUUAACGAAUGUUUUUUCCCCCCUGCAAAAUAACUACACUAAAAGUCAUUUAAAUAAAGUCGAUGUUAUCCAAAAAUAUUGAUCUAUAGUGACUUGGGAAAAUAUUAAUUUUAACACUUGACUAAGGGGGCUUGAGAGUGGUUUGAAUCAUUUUUAUGAUACAUUUAAGAUGGAAGUAUAGGGACGUAAGUUGCAAAUUUUGGAUAAUACACGGGCUAUGCAUGCAAAUGUAACCUCCCCCCUCCCGUUUUUGCUUUGCUUUUAACAUGGAGACAAAUGGAUGUAAUAAUUACGUGCAUUGAUCGAUUAAGAGGCCGUAGAGAUCGUACCGGAAACGGACGCCUGCGGCAGCGGAGGAGGAGGAGGAGGAGGAGGAGGAGGAGGAGGCGGCGGCGGCGGAGGGUCGGCCGGCGGCGGAAGCUGCGGCGGCGGAGCGCGGGACGAGAGGGGCGCAGCGGCGGAGGCUCCGGCGCCGCCGCGGCGGGCGGCGCGGCGAGCGAGGACGUCGGUGAGCGCGUCGAAGACCUCGGCGGCGAGGUUGGUGGGGAGGUUCCGCUCCUUGCGCUCGUGGCGCUCCAUGGCCCAGUAGGACGCGGCGGAGGCGGGGGCGGGGGCGGAGGAGGAGGAGGACGCGGCGGCGGAGGCGGAGGCGGAGGCGGAGGCGGAGGCGCGGGACUCGUAGUCGCGGACCUUCUUGUAGUCGCGGAGGAGGUUGUCCCACUUGUCGUUGCACUGGUUCUGGCUCCGGAGGCACCCGUGGUUCCAGCAGUAGUUCUCGACCCACUUCCACCUCUGCUCCGCCGAGCGCGGGGCCCCCGCCGCCGCCGCCCCCCCGCCGCCGACGAGGGGGCGCCCCCCCGGCGGGCGCCGCUCCCCGGCGCGGCGCUCGUCGUCGAGGCGCUUGGCAGGUGAUGAGGAUGAGCGUCUCGUGAGGGUCAGUUUCCUUGCGGUAGUCGCGGGGGAGGAUAGAGGCCGGGGAGGCGAGGACGCGAGGUUCGCGGCGCGGCGGCGGCGGGGCGGAGUGGAGGUGGAGGUGGAGGUGGGUUUGCGGUGGUGAGUGGUGGUAGGUGGUGGUGGGGGUGGGGGUGGUGGGGGAGGAGAGCUAAGGGAGAGGAGUCCGAGGGCUCGGAGGACAUGGUUUUUUGGGCAUUGGGGAACAGGACACAGAAUAGGGAGGAAGUAGAGAAUAGAGAGGGUGGGGAUUUGAUUAUAUGCCAUUUUUAUAUUUAUUAUUAUAUUAUAUUAUAUUAUUACUAUUAUGUUUAUUCAUUAUCGUAUCGAAAUAUCUAUAAUUUAUAUAUAAUAAUAACUACUAUAUUUGGGGGAUGGGAGUAAUAAGUGUGAGGGGAAGGGGCCAACCAGUAAAAGGCAGAGGAGUACGGUGUUAUAGUAGCAGCUAGGGAAAUGGAGAUAUUGUUAUCCAUUGCACCGAGUGUAUUCUUAUGGCUCAUGCACCGAGUGUAUUCUCAUGCAUCAACAUCUUAUUUGCACUUUUUAAGCGACAAAGACGAAUGACGAUUAGAUCCUCUCAGUGCCAUGUAAGAAAUAAUCUUGGAGGCGAAAUAUAUACUUAUCCUAAUAGACUUUGACUGAUACUUCGUACUUCACAAGACAUUAAAAAUUAAAAAUCUAGAUUGGGGUAACUUACAGAAAUUCGACAUGCGGUACAGAUAGAUUCUUAGUUUAAUCUCAUAUAUGUUUUUCCGUGCGUGGUGGACCGGGCGCAUGCAAUAGACAAUCGUAACAGGGGGAACGUGACACAGGAGGAAUGGUUAGUACAAUUGUUUUUUUCUUUCUUGCUGAUUUUAAUAUUUUUUUGUCACGACAUAAAUACCAUUAAAUAUUUUUAGCUUCUGUUACCUCAGCUGCAUAAAUAAGCCCGAUAAGUAACAGGCCCGUUUGGCCCGUUUUGAUAUUUAGAAUUCUAAAAAACUUGGGCGCGCAUAUUCAAAUCAAUUCAAAAACAUAAGCUGAUAGGUGAAGAUACAUUCUCCAAUAUAUGCAGAUUUAAAUUUUAUCUUAUGUUUAGUAUAGAACGAUUAUUCUUAACAUAGAAAAUGUUUUUUGAAAAAACAUUGUUUACAAACUUGAUAUGUUCUGAAUGCUAAAUUUAUGAUGAAAACACAAUUCGGGUUCGAUAUCAAUGGAAUUGGCAUGUUGAUAGGUCCAUACCCAUCACUUUCGAAUGAUCUAUAAAUUGCUAAAUUUCUCCUCUUUUUUUUUUGGAGCCAUUUUUUACUCGUUAAGUUUUUACUAUGGUGAAAAAUGGUUGCUAGGUAAUUACUGUGCUUGUUAAGGACUUGUGUGCAAAAAAUUAGGCAAAAAAAAUCGGGGAGUUUGGACAUACGUUACGGUGAUGAAAAUGAAGGUGAAUUAAAACGUGCGACGUUUUUUAGAUCCUUGAACCUACAACAAUAUUUAAUGGGUGCUAAAACUAUGAUAUUACAUUUCUCUCUAUCACAUAAAAAAAAAAAACCAUUUUUCAUGGAAGAAAUAAAAGCAAUUUGCGUGUGCUAAAAACGGUCUCUUGUAAUCGGAAAGGUCUUGGAGUUAAGUAGGUUUUGGAAUUGCUACUGAAGCGGUUAGCAGAACCCGUUUUGUGGAAUGGGACAAAUUCAAAUGAAAAAGCAUGGUUGGAAAAUUAUGUUUCCGAAUUGAUUUUGUUUGAUGUAGAUAGGACGUAGAGUGUUUGACAUGCCCGUUAGUAUUUUUUUCACUACUGUGAAUUUCAUAAAAAUACAAAUAGCGUCGAAAAAAUAAUAUUAUUAUUUUAACAUAUAUGAAGAUCAAAUUAAUGUAAAAUAUGAUUGUAGUAGUAAGUAAGAUGCUUGAAUAUGGAGUUAAUGAGCGACCACGUACAACAAUGGAGCUAUGGAGAGACUAUCAAAUCAAUAAAAGAUCAUGCAUUCUACUUAAUAAUGGAUAAUGAUAAUGAUUCAUAAUUCUAUGUGCUUAUUGGAAAAAUAAUUUUCUAUUAAAAUAAAAAAAUAAUAUAUUUUUUAAAUUAAAAAAAAUGCUCUUUUCAAAAAGAUUGGAGGUGCGGGGAAUCGAACCCCGUGCCUCUCGCAUGCGAAGCGAGCGCUCUACCAUAUGAGCUACACCCCCGUUUGUGAUGAGUAUUUCAUUUCAUUCUAUGAUAUUACGUGAAACAGGUGCACUGUUACUAUUUGUACGCACUUAUUUGUACGAGUCCAUUGAUUUUUCUGCGCCAUUGAUUUUUAGAUUCAUUUUCAAAAUUUAUGAGUGUCAUGUUACACCCACAAGAUUUUGUGAAAAUCAUAUUCAUUGGAUGAAAUUUUUUAUUUAGCAUUAGUCAUUAAAUAUUAUGUGCGGUGCACGGGAGAUGCUUGGUACACUGGGUGCAGGGAAUAUCCUCUCAUAAAAACCCCUCCUAGGUUCCCUCGUCCGUUUAAAAACCAGUCGAGGGCUCGACACUCGACUCCUCUCCAUUUCUAUCUCUCUCUCUCUCUCCUCAUCGAAACCCUAAUCCCUUUCUCCCAUGGCGCAUUCCCAUUUCGCCCCUUUCCCUAGGGUUUCCUCUCCCAAGAUCUCUCCCCCUUUCUCAAUCGCUUAUAAGGAUUAGGGUUUUUACCGUUCUUGGGGUUUCCAAAUUUCUCAUCUUUGUCGUUGGAGGGAGAUCUUGCGAUGGCCCCGCCCCGAGAAACCUACCACCACAUCAAAGUAUCCAUCGAGAGCUCCCCCGGCCUCCCAAUAUCCACCCAGAGUACGCGAUCGAAGCUCACAACAUCCGAAGACGCUCGUCGCCGCCUCCAAGAUCAGAUCUGUGCCUUUGAGGAUCGCCUCCGCGAGGAUACCAAGCGAUUGGAGUUCUGUACGGUUUGAUUUUGUCCCCUCUUGUCUCUUUUCUCCUUGGCAAGGGUUUUCUUUUCACAUUGGUGAAUUAGGGUUUUCCAUGUUGGGGAAUGGGCAGAGGCGAGUAUGAACGCGAAUGGUUUGAAGAGGUGCGUCGAGGAGGAGGAGGCUUUGGCGUCGACAUGCAAUGAUAUGGAGACUCACUCCGCUGUACGAGCAGGAUGUUAACAGGGUCGUGGAGUCGUAUGAUGAAUUGGCGAAGGAGAACGACGAUCUUCGAGCGCAUCCGCAGGAUAACUUGCAUGUAAGUGUUGUUAUUUGAAUCAAUUUUUGAAUUGAUGGCAAAAGAGUUUUAUUUCUUAAAUGAUGAUACUUUGGAUUCCUUAGUGAGAUGUUAAGUGUCAUCUUCUUAUCAAAUAUAUUGGAAUUAGGUCAUAUAAUUGGUGUUGAGUGAUGCUCAUGUUAUGAAACAUAUUACUAGUUUCUUGAGGACAUAAGGACAAACCUUGUUCUUGUAGGUGGCAUCUUUUUUGGUUUCAUAUUUCUGAUGGGAUAAUAAUUUUAUUAACUUAAUAUAUUAGCUUGAUUAGUCAACUUGAUGCCAUCGAGAGAAAGUUUUGAUGAUGAUGAUGAUGCAAUUGAGAGAAUUUUGAUGAGUGAUGAUUGACGAUUGAUGAUUGAUGAUGAUGAUGGAGGCAAUCCUUCCUCUUUUAUCCAUUUCUUUUUCUAUGCAUUUCUUUGGAUCUGAAUCUACUAUAGAAAGGAUAGAGAGAAGAUGAGUUUAUAUAUUUGAAUCUUCGACUACUAUUUGAGCUGGUUUUAGGUAUUGGUAUAGCUUCUUUUGCUCAACUGUACAAAUUUGUCUGAAAUAUGAAAGAUCUGAGAAGAAUUAUUUGUAGAUGUGUAAUCCUUAUCUCGGAUAUACAUAUGAAAUUGCAGAAAGGUUGCCAUAUUAUUGUCGCGUUCUUUUACUGAUUUUAUUAGAGAACAUCUUUCAAUAUACGAGUCCAUAAUUUGUUAUGAAGAGGAUAUAGGCAUUUGUUAUGAAGAAGAUAUAGGCAAUAGUUUUCACUAGUUUUUGAAAUUUUGUGUCGGUAUUGUUUAAGGAGUAAGUUGGUUAUUUUUGUGAUCGUACAUGCUCGUCGUAGUUGUUUCUGAAAGGAAUAAGAAAGGAUUGACAUGUGUGGGUGCAAGGAGAUGGAAAGAGGUCUGGGCUUCCAUGGAAAUGUUAGUUGUAAGCCCAUGGAAAUGUUACUUACUUGGAAAGGUUGUUGAUGUAUUACACCAAUCAGGUUCACACAGCAAAAAUUGUCGUUUUGAUGCUUUCUUCCCAUGAAAUGUUUGAGUGGUAGAAUAUUAAAGCUUAUUGAUUGUUAUGGUUCUAGAACAAAAGCAGCGGAAGCGCUUGUCUUUUGGCGUCAACCAUAGUUUCGACAUUCACAAAUUCAAGGGCUUAUAGAGCCUAGGUACAAGGUGUAAGGCAGAAGGCAUGCGCUUGAGGAAGACAAGGGACACACUUUUCACAAAUUUUGUUUUAAAAAAAAAUCUCAUUAAAAGACCUAUACAUCCUGAACAAAUAACAUGCAUAAUUCAGAAAGAUAACAUUGUUUUUACAAUAAACAAAUAAAUCUGGUGAUGGAAAUUGUUUAUCAAGAAUAUUUAAAACCACAAAAAGAUCCCAAGUGUGCAUCUUGGUUAUGUAUAUAAACACCCGAAACAUGCAUAUAUGGUUUCUGAAUCCUUUUACAGAAAUAUCCGAAACCUUCUUUUGAAAUUCGAAGCCUUUGUCUUACCUAACCAGAUUUAGUUGAUGCCUUGGGCCUAGGGUGAGGGGCAUAUUUAGGCCGCAUGGUGCUAGGCUUGAUUCCUUUAGCCUAGGUGCUGAGGCGUGUCCCUAUAAAUGCAACUCUUCAAAGUUCAAACUACAAGAUCAACUCAAAGCGAAAUUUCAGCAGCCUGUUGGAGUAAUAGCUAAGGGACUCUGUGGGACAUUUUUAUAUAUUGAUAUUGCAUCAUUUAAUUAUGGCAUUGUACAUUCUUCUGUCACAUCUCUGUUAUUGGUUAUUACCUACAUCUUACUUUGUAAAGGGCCAAUAGGAGGUUGUUAUUUUUACUAAGAUCACCAGUUAAAUAUUCAUGUAUCUUAUUUACACUUGGUGCCGUACAAAUGCUAUAUCGGCUGAACACCAAUAUAGACGUCUUUUAUCUCGAGAGUUGACACACCAAUGGGCAGAGAGAAACUCAGAUGUGCAAGGAUAUGUAACUAGAGUAACCUAUGUUUAGUCUAAUGUGUAAGAAUAGUUUUGGUAGUGGAUGUUACCUUGACAGACAAUGAGAAAUGGUUGAGAUUUGAAGGAUAACCGUUUUCUUCAACAACUUUUCGGGUUUAUGCCUAAUAUACAACACGAGCAUCAUGCCUUUAUUUAGAUAAUUUAUGUGGUUGCUUUUCCAUUAGGUCCCCAACUGGUAGCUUGUCCGGCGAUCUCCAUUGUGCUGUUAAAGAAUGGUCUCUUGUUACUCAUCAUGUUUAGCUUAUUUAUGCUUAAGUGUCUCUCUUUUAACUUGGUAAGCAACUAUACACAGCAAACUUCCAUAUUAUUAUUUUAUUAAAUCUCAAAAGUCUACAAUUGAUUAAUCAAUAUGAUUACAUAUUAUGUAUAUAUAAUUUCCACAGAACUAAAGGAUUGUGGCCAACGAAAACUGAAAAGGAUCUUCUGACAAGUCCUGCCAAUCCUUUUUUUAAAUUCAAUUCACAAUGGGGACUAGCAAUAUUACACAUUGGCUCAUGUAGUAGUGUUUUGACGCGUUCAAUGAAAGAUCAAUUCUUUGGAAUCUUUCCUUUCAUUAGAUUGGCAGUCAAAUGCCUUUUCUGAACAUAAAUGUUCAUCGUUGCAAAACAUGAGGUCAUCUGCUAUUUGAAGACAAGAAUUUUUUUGAUAACCUAAAAUACCUAUUUGGUUUUUCCUCCAUUGGAUGAUCAGAACUUCUUGGACUGGCUGGGUACUAUAGAGAAGUCCAGUAGAGAGGAAAUUUUUGAAGGAAAAAAGACAUUAAAAAGAGAAGCAUUUUUUCAUUGUUCUCUGUAUUUUUUUUUUUUUUUUCAUUUCUUCGAAGAAAAGUAACCUACUCUUUGUCAUGCUUUGUGUUGUUGUUGUUUCAAUUGUUGCUUAUUAAUAUUUGCAUUAUAUUCUUUUGAAGUCGCCGACAAAUAUUGCAGCUGACGGCGCGAGCUUCUGAAGUAGAAUCCUUGCAGAAGGACAAGGAAAUUGUGCUGGUUACUCUCCACAAAGCGGAAGAGGAGGUAAGCAUGAUUCUUUUUUUUUGAGAGCUAGGUAGCAUGCUACCCGCUUCGUUUAUUUCAUUUAGAAAUAAACUUAGCUAGAAAUGUGAAUCAGUUAUGAUUCGAACUUGGGACCUCGGGUACCAACCACCAAGCCUUUUGCCACUUGCGCUAGGGAUGGUCGUUAGGUAAGCAUAAUUCUUAACUUUUGCUUUUUUAUGUGCCACAUAUUAAACAUGUUCUUCUGCAAUACUCGAAGGUGGUGGUUCUGUUUGAAGAAAACAGAUUUCUGAAUGAAGAGAACAAGACAUUGCUGCUGCUUUUGGAAAGUAAGAGGCUUCUCAGAUCGUCUGACAGCAAAAACUCUAGUAGUGCCUCAGUUAAAGUAAGCAAGUACAAAAUCCUCUUAAUGUUCAAGUUUUGGCUGCUUAUGAAUUUGAACCAUCACUUCCUGAACUUUGCCGUCAAGUUUCAUUUUAGGGUGCGUUUGGUUCGCGUUAUCUUUUUAAGAUUCCUAGUAAUCUAAUAGGAAUAACAAAAUAUGACGGUGUUUGGCUAAACGCACUAAAUAAUCUAGUUGAUAAUAUUAGAUUAACUUGGGAAUGAGAUUCAUCCCAAAGUACUAAUUUCAUUUCCUUGAGGAAGGGUGAGUAUCUUCAUAUUAAUGAAUUCGGAUAAUCAUAAUAUGUCUAAUCUCUUUCUUUCUUUCUAUUCGCCGGUUAGUUGGUAUUAUUUUUCUUUACACUCUAACUUCAUCUCUCUCUAAACUUAUCUUUUUCUCUCUAAACUUUAACUUUUUUUCUCUCUAAACUAAGCUCUCCCUUUUUUUUUCCUAAAAUCUCAAUUUUCUCACUCUCUCUAAUCUCGACUCUAUUUCUCUUCUUAUUUUUUUAAUUUUGCUUUCUCUCUCUAACCUAUGUUCUCUCAUUUUUUUUCUAAAAAAAUGUUAAAAUUUUUUAUAACAUUAUCUAAAAUUAAAUAAAUAAAUAAAUAGUAUAUUUUUUUUGUAUCUUAAAUAACAUGAUUAAAUAAUAUGACCGUACGAACCAAACACAGUAAUACCACAAUCUUAGUAAUAGGAUGAAUAUGAAUAAGAUUUUCGGACAUCUUUUUGUUCUUAGUAAUAUUUUAUAGUGCAAACCAAACACGCCCUUAGUCUAAUCAAGUAGGAAAAUUAUUGUCUGCACCUGUUGCAUCUGCACAACCGCAUGUCACCCAUGCAUCAAACCUCAAUCUCCUCUCAUAUUGUGAUCUCUGCCCCACUGUGGCAGCCAUUUCUCUUUGUAAAUUUGGCUGUUUGCUGAAUCGAAAGUAGAAAUGGAUAGAGAGCCUGUUUGUGGUACAAAGAUGUGCAUAAUGCACACGGUGCAAUUUCCUCUAAAAGCUUGGGGUAUUGAAUGACCAAUUCAGGAGUUUUGAGUUUCAAAAUGAAACUUGACUAAGAAAUUUGGAGAGUGGGAGGGCGAUUUUACCCUUUUAAAAAUAAAAUGUUGGCAUUGUUGUUAAACAUUUUUAAGAGCACUACUAAUUAUUAUGUAAUGAAACACCGAAGCAUUGUCGUUCGUCGACGUACGCAGGGAAAACGUAAAGCAAGCCUCAGGGACAACAGUCCAACCGGUGGGGCGACUGAUUUUUCCUAUGCAAGUUCCUCAAGAGAGAGCCUUUGUCAUCGAAAUCUACAAUGCUGCACAAGUGAAACGGUGUAAUAUUCUCUUCUUUACUCUCUCUCUCUCUCUCUCUCUCUCUCUCUCUCUCUCCCUUAAAAAAAAAUAAAAUAAAAUAAAAAAAAAAAACCUCAUGGCUGCUUGCCAAAGUGAUUUCAUUUAGUCAGGGGUGUAAAUGUGGUGCCAAGGUUGUAUUUUUUUUUUUUUUUUUUUGGCCCUUUAUUUUCUUUCACUUUGCGAGCAGGAUUUAAACUUGAAAGAGUCCUGCUACGGGUCUACAGGAGUGGUGGUGCCCUCAGGAAAUGUUUGAUGUGCAGGCAUGCAUGAUUUAAAGGUUUUUUAAUUGCUUGGCCCCUAAUUGGCUGGAGGCGCUGCAUGGGCUAACCAACACAUCAAAAAUCCGUAUUAGACCUUUUGUAGUUUUGUGCGAAACCCAAAACAUUUUUCCACCUGAAAAUACUGAAACAAUAGUUUCGAAAGCCAGAUCACCAUUCUUGCACCAUUUCCGACUCAUAGAUGAAUACUACUGAGUUUGUGAUGUCACUAAUAAUGGCAAGAGCACCAUUUUGGUGUUAAUAAUAGUCAUAUAAGUUCGUGAUUUAUAAUUUAAAUAAAUAUAUUAUCGUAAGAUGUUAAUGAUUAGUUGUUAUUUGUUCAAUCACUGAAUCCAUUUAAAAUAAAUCCUUCAGCUGCGCUGGUAAUGUGAAUUAAAUUUUGAUACUUUUAGUUUAAAAUAAAUAAAUUUAAACUAAAAGUGUUAAAAUUUAAUUCACAUUUAAUUUUCAAUAUCAAACUCCCUCUUUUAAAUGAAAAUAAUUAAAAAAAAAUGCCAACUUGCAUAAAAAAUUUAUUAGCUUUUAAUUUUUGCAAAAGUAAGCCGUCUUUUUUAUUUUGCAAAUUCGAUUCAGAUUUUUAAAAAUUUGAUUAAAAUGUUUUUAAUUUUUUUUCUCGUUUUUUUUUCUUUCUCUUUGAAGAGGGCGGUGAAAGCGGAAGCGGCCUGCUUCGCCUUUGCCCCCGCCCCCGCCCCCGUCCUCGCCCUCGCCCUCGCCCUCGCCCUCGCCCUCGUUUGUGCACCCUCUUUUCGCAUUCCUUGCCUUCGACCUUGACUGCAUCUCGACAGGCGAGGAAGGCGGAGGGAGGUGUGCGGGUGAGGGCGAGUGCGCGUGAGAUAGAGACGAGGUAGGCCGCCUCUGCCUUCGCUUUUGCUUUCGCCUCCUCCUCCGAGAGAAAGAAAGAAAAAAAAGAACGAGAGAAAAAAAGAAAAAAUAGUAUUUUGAAAAUUAGGUUUGAAUCUACAAUAUAUAAAAAGACAGUUUACUUUUGUAAAAGUUCAAACUAAUAAAUUUUUUAUACAAAUUAGUCAAAAGAAAACCAAACUCCCCCUUUUAUAAGUUGUGUGUAUAUAUUCAUACAUAUUGAUAUUAAAUGUCUAUUCUAGUAGAGUCAAAUUAAUAUAAAUUUAUGUAUCAUAUUUAUCUAAAAAUUUAUGAUAAAAAUUUAAAUUUAAAAAAUAAAUUUAUAUAUUAAAUUCUAUUAAAAAAAUUUGUCAUAUUUAAAUUCAAAUUUAAAUAUUUAUUGCCAAUAAUAAUUAUAUUGUUCUAUUUUUUAUUUUAUAAAAUAUAAGUUUAGAUCAUUAACUAAAUUUAAUUUUGAAUAUCAAAUUUCAAUUAACAAUUACAAAGUUUUAUUUAAAGUGGAUCAAACUUAAAUUCAUAUUUUUAGUUUACAACAUAUACUUAAUUUUUGACCUCGACAAAAAUAAAAAAAAUACAAAAAUAUACAAUAUAUAGUUAAAUUUUAACUAUAAAUUUAAGUUAAAUAAAUUUUUAAAUAUAUAUUUAUUUUUUAGUUUAUGUGAUUUAAAGUUUUAUUUUAUAUUAAAUUCGAAGUUAAAAUUUAAUUAUAAAUUGAAUAUUUUUGUAUAUUUUUAAAAGUUUGAGGAACUCAAAAUUUAAGUACGUAUCUUAAAUUAAAUUAAAACUAUCAAAAUUUUAAUGCACCUUUAAUUCAAAAUUCAAAAUUUAAAAUUAAUUUAUUUUAACUAAAAUAUUUUAAAUAUUAAAUUAAAUUUGAUUUUCAAAAAUUAAAUUUAAUUUAUGAUUUAAAUUGAAAUUUUAUAAAAUAAAAAAUAAAAUUAUGUUAUUACUGUCACCAAUAAUUAUUUAAAUUUGCGUUAGAAUAUGACAGAUAAUUUAUAAUAGAUUAUAAUAAAUAAAUUUAUUUUUUUAAUUAAUUUUUUUAUUCUAAAUUUUUGGAUAAAUAUAAUGCACAAAUUUAUAUUAUUUUGAGAUAACUUUUAGGAUAUUAAUUUGAAAUAACUAUUAAGCCGUUUUCGAUAAUGAAAUUUUCGAAUCGGCGAUCAGCUCUGUUAUACUUGAUUUAGCGUAUUCUAAAUAUUUAGAAAAUAAAUUUUAUGAUUCUUUAAUAUUUUUUACCUAGUGAUUAGAAAUAUUGAUCUUGUUACAAAUAGUAUAAAUUAUGUAAUUAUUAGGGUAUUAUUUAUCUAGUGAUCGAAAUGACUAAAAAUGAUGGACGACUAAAAAUAAAAAUCUCAUAAAAAAUUAUGAUAUAGUACAAAUUUUCAAUCAGAGAUAUUGAGAGAUAUUGAUCUUAUUGUAGAUAGAAUAAAAAAUUUUCUAUCAAUUUUUUUUUUAAUUUGAAUACUUUUAUACUGUUAAUAUAUGAUAUAAAUUUUUUUGAUCAAUAGAUAAAUUAUAUCAAAAAAAUUACAAAAUUAGUUUUUUAUGUCCUUCAAAUAUAUUAGAUCAAGUCUAACGGAAUCGAUUGUUGAUUCGAAAAUUCUAUUAUCAAAAAUGGUUUGGAAAUAAGGAGGCCUAUGUGCUCUUAAUAGCAAACUAGUCCUACUAUAUAUAUGCAUGGCUACUGUACUAUUAAGAGCAGAACAUUUAAUUUCUCCCCAAUUUUUUUUUCUCUCUCAUCUUAUCCAUCAAAAUUGAUGGAUGGCUAGAAAGAUAGAAGUACAAGGACUGCUGUGCUCUUAAUAGCAUAAUAGUCGUUAAUCUCUCAAAAUUUUUUCUCUCAUCCUAACUACCCAUCAAAAUUGAUGAAUGGUUAGUAAAUUAGGAGCACAAUAACUGCUGUUCUCUUAAUAGCACAGUAGCCUUACUCAUAGAGAGAGAGAGAGAGAGAGUAAAUCUUGCAUGCUACUAGGAGCACGGAGUCUUUCGUGCUCCUGAACCGUUUUCGAUGAUAGAGCUUUCAUAUCGACAAUCGGUUCGUUAGAUUUGAUCUAGCGUAUUUAAUAUAUCUAGAAAAUAAAUUUUAUGAUUUUUCGAUAUCAUUUAUCUAGCGAUCGAAAGGUUUCAAAAUGAAUAAUUUUUAAUGGUUGAUAUAUAUCAAUUUUUUUUAUGAAAUUUUUAUUUUCAGUUAUUAAUUUUGAACCUUUUCGAUCGCUAGGUAACGAUAUAAAGUUUAUUUUUUAAAUAUUUCAAUUAUGCUAGAUCAAAUCUAGCAUAAUAGCACACAAGAUCUACUCUCUCUCUCUCUCUCUCUCUCUCUCUCUCUCUCUCUCUCUCUCUAUAUAUAUAUAUAUAUAUAUAUAUAGUAUAUGUAGUUGAGCUACUAUUCUAUCGAAGCACGGACCUUCCGUACUUCCAGCCGUUUCGAUGUUGGCGACUUUCGAAUCGUCGAUCGGCUCCGUUAAACUUGAUCUAGAGUAUUUAGAAUACCUAGAAAAUAAAUUUUAUUAUUUUUUCGAUAUCAUAUUCGCUAGUGAUCGAAUGGGCUCAAAAUCACAAAUUUCAAUGGCCGCAGUGAGCCGUUUGCAAGUUUACGGUGUAGAAAUAUCCAAAUCACGUGAAAUUUUGAUAGAAAAUUUUUAUACUAUUUAAACAAGAUCAAUAUCUUGAUUUAAAAUUUAAUGUCAUAUUAUUCAUUUUGUAGAUUUUUUAUUUUCAGCCGUUGAUUUUGAGCCCUUCGUCAUAGGCAAUGAUAUCGUAAAAUCAUAAAAUUUAUUUUUUAGGACUUUCAAAUACUCUAGAUCAAGUUUAACGAGCAAUCGACGAUUCGAAAGUCGCAACUUAAAACAGCUGAAAGCAACGGAAGGCUACCGUGCUUCCGAUAGCAUAGUAGCCUCACUCUAAUAUAUAUAUAAUAUAUAUAUUAUAUAUAUAUAAUAUAUAUAUAUAUAUAUAUAUAUAGAGUCGGCUACUAUCUUAUUAUAGAAUUGGAGCUAUUGUCCCCUAAUCAAAUCGUUUUGAUUUAUCGAAAUUUCAAAUUGAAAUCGGCCCGUUGAAAUUGAUUACACAAUUAGAAGUAUUUAAAACGCAAAUUUUGUAAUAUUUAAAAAUAUUAUCAAUUCAUCUUAAGAGUUAAAAAUAAACGGUCGUAAUGAAUAACUUUCUUAAAAUAGAGUUAGACUUUCUCAAUUCAUAAUCAGGUUUCAAACAUUAUCUAAAUAAUAUAAAAACAUUUUUAUCAAAAAUUCAAGCAAUUUGGAUUGCUUUACACCGUUAAACAAACAAGGCUCAUACAUGCCGUCAAAAAUUGUCAAUUUUACGCAACUUUGAUCACUAUGUAAAUAAUUUUAAAAUUUAUGAAUUUAGUUUCUAGAUAUUUCAAAUACUCUAGAUCAAUUUCAACGGCUCCGAUCAUCAUUCGGAAUCUGGAUCAUCAAAAACAAUUUGAUAGGACAAGUGCUCCUAUCCUAUUAAUAGGAUAGUAAAUCUAGCAUAUAUAUAUAUAUAUGAUAUAUAUUAUAUAUAUAUAUAUAUAUAAAGCUCUAUACAUCGAAGCCGCUUUAGGAACACUUGAGUCUCUCAUGCCUAAUAGCACGCAAGCACCUUCUCCUCUCUCUCUCUCUCUCUCUCAUCUCUCUCUCUCUUCUAUAUAUAUAUAGAUAUAUAUAUAUAUAUAUAGUGAGGCUACUAUGCUAUCGGAAGGCACGGAGCCUUCGUGCUUCAGUUCGUUUUCGAUGUUUGCAACUUUUGAAUCACGUCGCGCUCCGUUAAACUUGAUCUAAGUAUUUGAAGUACUUAAGAAAAUAAAUUUUAUUAUUUUCGAUAUCAUUGCUAGUGAUCGAAUGGGCUCAAAAUCAACAAAUUUCAAUGGUCGUAGUGAGCGUUUGCAAUUUAACGGUGUAGAAAUAUCCAAAUCAGUGAAAUUUUGAUAGAAAAUUCUUUAUACUAUAUAAAACAAAAUCAAUAUCUUUGAUUUAAAAUUUUAAUGUCUAUUAUCACAUUUGUAAGAUUUUUAUUUUCACCGUUGAUUUUAAAACCCCUUCGUUCACUAGGCAAAUGAUAUCGUAAAAUCAUAAAAUUUUUAUUUUCUAGUACUUCAAUAUCUAGAUCAAGUUUAACGAGCGAUCGCGAUUGAAAGUUGCAACAUAAGAAAAUGAAGUUGGAGCCACGGAAGGCUCGCGUGCUUCGAUAGCAUAAAGCCUCAUACUCAAUAUAUAUAUUAGUAUCAUUACUUAUAUUUAUAAUAUAUAUAUUCAUAGUAAGUACAAGCGGUCUGAUUUUUCAUCGGAAGUUCCGCUUAGGAACACGUUAGAGUCCUGCAUGCUCGCUAAUAGCACGCAGAAGAACCUCUCUCUCUCUCCUCCUCUCCCUCGGGUCUCUCUCUCUCUCACUAGUAUAAUAUAGAUAUGUAUAUUAGUACAGGUAUUAUAUAGUGAGGCUACUAUGCUUAUCGGAAGACACGGAGCCUUCGCGUGCUUCCAGUUGCAGUGUUUCGAUGUUGCAGACUUGUUGAAGUUCGACGAUCCAGGGCUCCUGGUUAAAACUCGCGACUCCAAUAGAGGAUUGAAAAGGUUCCGUAGGAGAAGAGUUAUAGAUGUUGGAUUAUUUUUUCGGAUAGUCAUUCUGUCCUAGUGUAUCGGAACUGCGCGCCGUCUCAAAAUCAACAAAUUGUCCAGAUGGUGUGCAGUAGGAGGUUUUGCAAGUUUGAACGGUUUUCGGUGUGAGGAAUAUCAAAUCACUGGUGAUAUUGUUGAUAGAAAGAUUCUCGUAUGACAGUAUAGGAAACUCUCAAAGAUUCCAAUAUCUGUUGAUUUAAAGAUGUUUAAUGUGCAUAUUAUACAUUUUGUAAGUAUUUUUGAUUUUGCAGCCGCUUGGAUUUUAGAACGCGCCUUCGGUUCACUUAAAUAAUGAGUAGUCGGUAUAAAAUCAUGAAAAGUUUAUUUGUCUUAGGUACUUUCAAGAUAGCGUGAUAGAUCCUAACGUUUAUACGUGAGGCGCGGAUCGGACGGAUUCGCAAAGCUUUGCCAACAUCGGAAGAAUGAGUGUUGGAAGGGCACGCGACAGGCUUCGGUUGCUGCCGGAAGUAGGAUUAUGAGUGCGUCACUCCGUAACUAUAGUAGGAUAUUAUAUAUAUAUAUAUAUAUAUAUAUAUAUAUAUAUGCGCCUACUAAUUGAAAAACACCUAUUUUUGACGUCAACAAGGAUUACCCCAGUAUCCACCCCUUUAAUCGGCGGCUUGGUUUCAGAUCUUAUUGAAAGAAUCGCAGUGUAGUUAGGCUUUCAUGUACAUUACACACACCUGCGUUUAACAAACACUGAUAUCCACAUACCAAUUAAGCAGCUGCGGAUUGCUUAUCAUCUGGGUCUUCCAGAUUCAAUGCUUGCAACAGCUUCGGCCAAGACUCCGGGAUGCCCCCGGGUAACUCAAACUCCAAGAGUUUCCCUCGUCUGCCGUAGAACUCCUCUACUGGCUCGCUCUGCAGGAAAAAGAAAAGAAAGAAAAAAACGAGAGGGAUUUUUUGCUUCUGAGAAAGAAUAUAUUGGAGAUUUGUAUAUGUUGGUUAAAAGUAGCCCCUAAAGAUUCAAUAUACAAGAGAAUACUGGAAAUAAUUAGAUUGCUAAAAGCUUGUCAAAUAAAUAAGACGUGAAAGCGAAAGUCAAGGCGCUAGAGGUCUAGAACAAACCACAGCAAGUAUCGGUAAUAUGAUGUGGAAGUACCCACAAUGAAAGGGUACGCUACAAAGUAGAAUACUCCGAACCAAUGGAGGUGAAAAGAACACGGCUGUUGUUUUUUCUUUCAGAAAAAAUUGUAGGUAUUUUGCCAUCAAUACCUGGUUUCAAAUAUCAGCAUCUAUUCAAAACUGCUUCUACUGAAAAAGUUGUCGUCCAAUUUGGUGAAAUGUAUUGUUCGAUACCAACAAGAGGCAGGUUAGGUUGUUCCCAAAGUAGAAUCACCAUCUGGUUAGCCAUUCUAAUCUAACCUUUAAAGCUUUGGAGAAUAUCUAAUUUGCCCCUGGUUUUCAAAAUUGACUUUUUUGUUUCCAAAUUUGCCUAAUUGCCUCUCUAAAAAAAAUGUGAGAAAGAUCUUUUUGUUACAAAUAUACGCCUGCCUUUGAGGGUUUAUUGGGGAGAUUUGAAAUUUUAGAGGGUAUUUUGAAAAUUAAAGGGUAAAUUUUGAAAAAGUGAAACAACAGUCAGGGGUAUAUAAAAAAUUGCCUCAUAUCAAAUUUAUAAACCAAGAUUGGGUACUCUGCACUUUCUAACACAAGCAACCAAGUGACUUCACAAUUACGGAACACUACCAAUAUACGCAAACUAAAUAAUUGAAACCCUCCUAUGAAGCAUUUAUGGAGGCAUAAAAAUUUGUAAAUUACUAAAUACAACACGGUUAUGAAAAGUUGAGCUAAUUUUGCAGGAAGGAGAGCAUAAGAAUCUGGAACGUACCAAAUCGUGAUACACGCGUAAUCGUUCCUUCACCACUUUUUCGGUGUCAUCUGAUCGAGUAAUGAGCUUCGACGCACAUUGUGGAGGAGGUAGAAGCGGAGCCAUGUAUAUGCCUGGCGUCCCAUUCUCGCCCUUGAUGUCAAUGGAGGCCACAUUGAAGUUCCCUCCACACUGACUGCAAAUCCUUCUCCCCAGGCACUUUGUGAGCAGCACAUCUUCUCGAAGCUUAAGGUUGAUCACCAGAUCGAUGUCAGUCACUCCCUCCAGUAUUUCCUAACAAAUCAGACACCAAGGGAUGGAAUUGGAAUGAGUAGAGCAUUUUUUAUGCAGUAAAUUUGAAACUUAAGCAGCUGCAAUUAAGUAUCUCAAUUGACAGUAAACUAGAUUUUCUGAGGGAACAGACAGUUUCCAAAGAAUUGAAGUUGAACCAUUCAUGGUAAAAUAUAGGAAACAAAAUUCAGGUUACAGAUUGUAAGCUCUGCAAUUAACAGCUAAAAAAUGGGAUUCAUGUUCUCAAAGCAUUUAUGUUAUCACUUAAUGCAAAAUUAUUUACAAUUCACCCAAUUAUUAUGCAUUCAAAAGACGGCUGUGGCUCUUGUUAUUUGUUAACAGGGGCGUUUUACCUCAAAGGAAUUCGCCCCUUGUUUUAAAUGGAAAGCUCUCUUUUUCUAUGGAUAAUACUUAGCACAAGUGACCAAAGGCUUAACGGUUGGCACCUAAGGUCUCAAGUUCAAAGCCUUAUUUCUUUACGUUUCCGCAAAUAGCAUGCUACCAUUCUCUCUCUCAAAAAAAGAAAAAAGAAAAAAGAAAAAAAGGAGAACACUCUUUUUCUAUAGGGCAAGUGCAAACAGGUGGAAUUCUGAAACAUAUGAAAUAAACUUCAAAGGUAGUAUACUUUUGCCAGCCGCUGGCGCCUAUGAAUAAAUUCUUACUCUUCAUACAAUGCAAAUUUUAAUACAGUGAAUAAAGACUCAGCAAAUUGCAAACAAAAACACCACGGAAACAAAGUAUUGUGAUGAUAUUGCGAGUCAAUGGCCGGUAAGAAUGAACAAAAGUAAAAAACUUUAUAAAACAGACUCCUGCAUUAGUAGACAGCAACAAGUAUGAUGACAUCAAUUACACAGGACAAUCAUGCACAAAAUCAGGGUCACUUAUCUUGAAGACAUCUUAUAAUGAAAACAGAUAGAAUACCAAGCUAAAUAUUAGACAAGAAGUAAAUAUUACUAUGUGUACUUACAAUCAGAACGCAUAGCUAGCUCACCGCUUGUCUUAUCGUUCGUGGAAAUCCAUCAAGAAUGAAUCCUGAUUCACCCUUAGCUUCUCCGUCUUCAAGGCGCUUCGACAAUAAGCUAAUGAUGAUCUCAUCUGAUACCAACUUGCCUUGAUUCACAAUCUCUGCCAGCUAAAGUACAAAAUAUGAAAUGAAUUAGCAUAUAUCAAAAUCAGUGCCUUCGAAGCACAUCAGAAGACGAUUCAAUACAAGCAGCAAAAAUUUCAAGUAACAUCUUCAGGAUCAGAGAAACUGCAGUGCUAUUUGGAGAAGCACUUUAUUAACAUGCCAACAAUACAUACUUAUAUUCAGGUCUAAGAAAAUACGCCCAACAAAACUUGCUUAAGAUUAGGGUAAUUUGUUUGUUUCCAAAGUGUCUUAUUCUGUAAGCAUAUCCUACUUGUUAACUUUAAAUCUCUACCAGAUAUAUGCAAAAGAAAAACCUAAUCUCGUUCCAUUUCAUUGUAAUGGUAUCGGCAAGAUCAACGUAAUGAAUCUCUAACCCUUAAUAAUUCUUGAAUCUAAAUUCUAAAGACCUACUCAUCCAAACUAGCCUCGAUAUGCCUAAUUAUACCGUAAUUUAGGAAACAGAACAGCGAAUCCCCCUUUAUCUCAUCAAACAAGAAACCCUAAAGAACACCUUAUGGAUCAAAGACACAACGGGAAAAGGCAAAGAUCGGGAGGGUACAACGAUCGUUUACCUCUUUGGCGAGGGGUCCGGACGAGGCGAGCUCUUCACGGACGAGGUCACCCGUGGCGAUGUGGGGGACGCCGAGGAGGUGGGAGAGGCGGCUCGCGUAGGUUCCCUUCCCCACGCCGGGGCACCCCAGGAACACCCACUGCACGUUCCAGCUCCUCGGAUCCCUCUUCGUCCUCCUCUCCGCUGUCUCUCCCUCGCGCCCCACGCUCGCCGCGAACGCGGCGCCUACCUCGGACGACGCCGCCGCCGCAAACCUCCGCGCCGCCGCCGCAGCCGCCGCCGCAGAGGCGGCGGCCCGGCCUCGCAUCAAGCGGUUUAGGAUCGCCAUCGCCGGAGCCGCGCGAGGGCGAGAGAGCGAGAGAGAGAGAGAUUUAGGGUUCGGCGAUGAUCGCGGAGAGGGUGGCGGGGACGAGGCGAAGAAAUGGAAUAAAAUGCGAGAAUAAAGAUGAGAAUAAGUUACUCGAGGAGGAGAACAGCGUAGGGCCGUAGCGAAUAAAUAAUGGGGAUAAAAAUAAACGAUGGGAUUUUUACUUAUUUUAUUGGGAAGGACAAUAGGAAUCUAGAAGAGAAUCCCAAUAAGAGGGUUUAAGACGGUUCCCGAAUUCAGAUGAACAACCUAUUACCCAUACAAAUUUACUCACUUUUUUUUUUUAAGAAAAAAAAACUAUACAAGACUAUUGUUUUAGGGUGACUUAUGAAUGACUUUUUUUUCUUUUUUUUUUUCAGGGACGUUAGACUUUUUUUUUUUAAUGUGAAGUAAUUAGACUUUGAGUUGGACCUCCAAUUUUAAUUAUUAAAUCUUUUAGGGAGAUUGUUGAUGUUGAUGUUGAUGUCCCGAUAAUUUUAUACAGCAUCUUUGAAUUUCUAGCUAUAUAUCUAAGUAAACCUUUCCACACUAACUAUGUAAGAAAUCCUUAACAAGCUUAACAACACUUAUGUUGAUGUAACCAUUUAUCCAGUUACAUAGGUUAUUAUUUAUUAACUGAAUUUGAUCGGAUUUAUAUAGUUACAAGUGUCAAAAUGUUAUAAUUUAAAGAAUCAGUGAGUAAAGUGUAAGGAAAAUUUUUUUGGGUUGCCGCAUAAUUAAAGAGCAGUGCUAUAUGUACAUCUAUAAAUUAAGCGUAAAUCUUACAUUUCACUAAUUUAAAUACUGCCAUAUUUUCACCGAUUUUAUAAAUUUUAUUUCAAUACCAAAAAUAAAAAAAAUUUAUAAAUCUUAGAAAGGUGAGAUGUAAGAUUGAUACCUUACGUGUGAUCUACAAAUAGUAUUUUUGUAAUUGAAUGACUUCUUAUUCCACUCAUAAGAAUAAUGAUAAAUUAUUCAUUGACCAAUGAUAGAAAGACACACUAGACUCAUUUUACUAUUGGAAGAUGAAAUUAUUAAAUAUGAUUAUUAUUUUCUUACUAAUUAAAUACUAUUGCUUGAAUUUUCCAAAUAUAUAUAUUUUUUUAAUACAAAUUAGCGCAAAGAUUGAAGUAUGAGGACAAAGCUUGUAUAAUUACAUGGUGGCAUCUGGGAUGCAAACGGAUCCAGAGGACGGAAAGGGUUUUUUUUUACCUUCUGUCAUGUUUUCUUGACGGAUCAAGGUGAAUUCAGAACAGAUUAACUUUAUCUUAUUUUUAGCCUUCACUUAAUAUCCCUAGUUGACGUGGCCUGAAUAAGUAGUCAACAUCAAAUCAUGGAACCGACCGUCUCUAGAGCAAGUGGUAAAGGAUUUGAUGGUUGGUACUCAGAGACUCAAGUUCGAAUUCUAGUUGAUUCGCAUUUUUAGCUAAGUUUAUUUCUAAAUUAAAUAAACGAAGCGGAUAGCCUGCUAUCUAUCUCUUAAAAAAAAAUAAAAAAAAAUAUCAAAUCAUGGUGUGCGACAUUGGGUUCCCUGGCCAAUAUGAAAACACGUUAUGAAAACACGUUACAUUUGAGGAACACAAAUCCAACGUGACUUGAUCAAACGUGCCCUCCCCAUCAACCACUAACUAAAAGGGAAAAAAAAAAAGAAGAAAGAAAAGCUACGUAUUCUUUUCGCAUUAAUGCAACCGCCAGCAUUGGACUAGUUCAUGAUGGAUCAGAAAUUUAAUGAAGCGUUAUAAAAAAGAAUUAGUUUAAAAAAAUAUAUUUGUGGAAAUUAGAUUCUUAUAAAAUACAACAUUUUCAUGUUUGGUUAUCCAAUGAUCUUGCAUAAACUAAAUUAUAGCUGUUCUCGAUAUCAAAUUUAAUGUUUCAAGAGAGCUAGAGGAGGAACAAAUUUGUCAUAAACACAUCAAUAAAAUAUAAAACAAAAUUUCCUCUACAAAGAGAACUGUGUUAAUUACACAUUAAUUAAUUAAUGAAUAUGAUUUCAAAAGAAUACACUGGCCCACCCACACACGCCAUUCACAAUUUCAAAAGAAUUCAUGUUUAAAUACAAACAAAUAAUUAAAAAAAAAAUGCCACACAUGAUCAUUUGUUCUUAGUUAACUAAUCCGCAGAUCUUUCUAAUCUCGCCAGCCGCGCCUGCCAACGGACUAAUGUCCCCCAUCUUCACCAUCGCUGCUGCGAAGUCGGCGUAAAACGCGGCCCUGUUCGUGCUGUAACCCCUCACAAUGUCGUCGGUCGCGCCUCCGUUGAACAGAACCUGGUCUGAGUGCAGGAGCCCCUUCUGCUGCAGUAGAUUCUUGUAGUAGUUGUUGUCGAACGAAUUCGGCGUGACCAAAUCGAGCGGGGCGAGGUUGGUGUUGCCGCCCGCUGAAGGGCACCGCCUUCGCCGUGUGCUUGCGAACCCCGCGUCGAUGUCGGUCUCGUUGUAGAUGCGGUUACGGAACGUGACACAUUGUGCUUGGCCUAUAGUGUGGGCACCUGCAAUGGAUUUGAUUUUGUUAAUUAUUACUCAUUAAGUAAGUAGAGAUUGAUUAAUUUAGGGUGAUUAGUUAUAAGUUAAUUACCAGAGAGGGCAACCAUGUCUUUGACACUUAGGCCCUGUCGAGCAAAGGAGGAGACGAGGGCGUCGAGAUCAUCGAAAGCGGUCGGAAGGUCGGCCCGAGCCAAGUCUUUGUUGGCUGUCGUUGAGUCUCGUCUUCCUAGCUUAACCGUCCACGUCGGACCGCCCACCUGUUACAACAUUUAUGAAUUGAUGAUCAAGUUAAGUUGUGAUUAUAAGCUCGCGCAUUUUGAUUUUAUCGUCUGUUUAGCCUAACUUUUAAAAUAGCUUUACUGCUUACGAAGAUAUCUGUCAUAGAAAAACUUAAGAGCUUUGCCUUUGCGCUAGAUUAUAAAUAAAACUAACAUGAAUCUUUGAAUCUAAAGCAUGUAGAAUUUGAGAUUUUAAGCUUCUACUUUUAGCUUCUGUAGGAAGUUGCAGGUUAGAUUAUUUAACUUAAAAAUUUUAUAAAGUUUUUUUGAACAGCUCUGCUUAAAUACUACUUUUAUAGAAUUUUAUGUUGGAUUUAUUGAACAAGUACUAAUUUAGGAAUAAUGCAUGCUAGCUUGCACCUACAUAUUCAGAAGAAUCUCUUGCGACAACUGCGAGGAUGUCGGCACACGACAUGACCCCCGGGCACACCUUCUCAACUGCAGACUUCACGCCGUCGAUCACUUCGAAGCCCCUGGCUGACUUGAAAUUCUGGAGUGCGUUCUGCUCGCUCACGAUGUUUGGAGCAUCGACAAGCAAAAGCGACGCAUCACAUCCCUAAAACCACACAUGCGAAAUCGAUCACGAACAUUCGAAAUUUUUUUCUUCUAAAAUAGCACAUAUAUCUUUCGACGGCAAUAUUACAUACUUGGACGAAGCAAUCGUGGAAGUGGAGGCGGAUGAGCGAGGCCGCCAUGCGGCGCUCCUUGGUGAUCGCGGUGCGAACGGCAGCGCGGAUCGUCGAGAGAGCUUGUGGGCAUGUGUAGUCAUAGUAGUUUGGUGUAAGUUGUGCUUCACAAGUGAAAGUGGAGAGCAGCAGCAAUAGAACAGUAGCAGCAAAACUUGUAAUAAUAAUGUGGAAACCAGAGCCUUUAGAAGUAGUACUCAUUUCUAUGGGUUCUUAGUGUCUCCAAAUAUGUAUAUAAGAGAGAGAGAAAUAGAGAGAGAGGUGUUUGUAAAUGUGAGGAGUGUGAGAAGGUGUUGUAGUAGAGGAUGGAGUGGAGAAACAAACACAAAUGGCGAAUUUAUAGGGUUCUAAAAACAUUGAAUAACAAGGAAAUAAGAAACUUUCAACGAUAUAAGAUAAAGGUUUGCCAGGUCUUCUACCAACCAAAAGUUUAGGGAAAACUUCAAAAACCCCCCCUGUGGUUUCGUGCAUUCUCACUUUCCUACCCUGUGGUUUAAAACGUAUCAAUUUGCCCCCCUGUGGUUUCGUUUUUAUCUUUUUGUUAUCAAUUUUAUUAUUAUUUUUUUUAAAAUCAGUGACAAAGUUAAAAUUAAAGGAUACUAAAGUGACUAUUCGAUAAAUAUAGAUGGUUAUCUGAAGUUUUUUGUAUAUAAUUUAACGAAAUAUUAACGAAAAAGCUUCCGAAAAGAUAAAAACGAAACCACAGGGGGGCAAAUUGAUACGUUUUAAACCACAGGGUAGCAAAGUGAGAAUGCACGAAACCACAGGGGGGGUUUUGAAGUUUUCCCUAUUUUAUGAUUUGUCUCCGUCCUAUGAAAUUAUUGCUUGCGCGCCGUGUACGUGUAUCCUUACAUCUCAUGCACCGCAUUCAAUAUUUGCCGCUUGAUAUUUUGAAAUCAAAGUGUAAUUAGAGAAAGUUAAUCAAUCAUAUCUACAGGCCUAUCCUAUCGGAUAGUCGCAAAAAAAAUUAUCAGUAUAAAAUAUUUUUUUUUUUUGAGAGAGAUAGAUAGCACACUAUCCGUUUCGUUUAUUUCAUUUAGAAAUAAACUUAGCUGGAAAUGUUCGAACUUAGAACUUUGGGUACCAACCACCAAACCUUUUGCCACUUGCUCUAGGGACGGUCGGUUAUCAGUAUAAAAUGUUAAGAAGAACAAUUGCUAGUCCUAUAUAUUGAAUAGAAGAAAGAACUAUAUCUUUACUAUUUUGAUCGAUUGCUAGCAUUUGUUAAAUUAUAUGAAACGGUGUUUCUCUUAGAAUGGUAAAGCUGCUAUAAACGGUAUUUUUAAUAUUUAUACUAAAUGCUCCCUCCAUGUCUUUGCUCAAGGUAUUUUUAUAAAUUUAAGAUGUAGACUUAUAUUAAAGGGGCAAUUGUCUAUAUACUCCUGAAAAGUUUUCGAUUUUCUUAUUUACCCCUCUUAAAAGGCUAAUAUUGAAAAUACCCUUCUUAUGUUUCAAGUUUUUCUAAAAUAUCCCUGGAGUUAAGUUCCAUUAGUGAGCUGCCGUUAUCUCUGAAAAAUUACCAUUUUGCCCAUUCCAAUAUACCUUUGUACCGUAACAAACUUUUUUUAUAUAUCCUUCAUAUAGCAAAUACUUUUCUUAUUUGCCCUUCAGUCGGAUCCGGAGCAGAGGGCGUGCAGGGGUCCAAUGGCGCUGCGGCCCUCUUGCUCCUGGCGCCGGCCAAGGCAGCGGAGGAGGAGAAGGACGACGAGAGCGGCGACAGAUGGGAUCGUCGCUGCGGCCCUCUUGCUCCCGGUGCCGGCCAAGGCGGCGGAGGAGGUGGACGACGGCGACGAUGAGAGCAGCGGUGGAAGAAGACGACGAGAGCGGCGAGAGGGAUGGUGUUGGAGGUGAAGGUGUGGGAGGUGGUGGUGGUCUGGGAGGAGAUGAGGCGAGGUGGAGGCGGAGGAGCCGGCCGGUGGUGGCGACCAAGUUGGGAAAGAAAGAGAAGAUAAUCUUAGGGAUUAGUAUAAUAAGGUAGGGACAAAAUAGGUAUUUUAUUUAGAUUUUAACUUUAGUAUAGAUUUAACCCAUGUUUAACCCGAGUUAAGCUAACAGGGAAUAACUGCGGGGUAUUUUGGAAUAACGAUGGAACAUAUUAGGGGCAUUUUAGAAAGAAAAAAAAAGUAGGGGUAGAUUGAAUAUUUCCGAAUGCAUGAAGGGUAUAUAGGCAAUUAUCUCUAUAUUAAAUAGGAAAAACUUAUAAAUAGCCCCUCUUUUUUUUAAAAAAAAACUUAAUUUAUCAGAGAAAAAUAUUUUUAGUAUUUUAUAUUUGACAGAAUUAUAUCUAAUAAACUAAAUUCUAAUUUCAAAGUUCCGUGGUGUAUGAGAUGGAUAAGAAUACACAGGGAACAAGCAAUAAUUUCUCUCGUUGGUCUAACAGCGACGAAAAAUUCUAGAAUACAACGGGUAUAUUAGUGACGUGGCGUAACAAACCAAUCAAAUUAAUCCUUUUAAGAAUAUAUGUCCCAUCAUGAUUGUAAAAAAGUAUUUUUAUUGUACUUUUAUUUAAAAAGAAGGAAUGUGAUUGGCUUGUUAUUGAUGACGUGGUGCAAGUGUGACAGUGUAGAAUUCCUCAACAGCGACGGCCGCGUUUUGGCCCGUGUGAGGGUCACCAAUAACGAGCUCUACUAUUCAAAUAUGACGAUAGACACGUGGUAUUUGCGAUUAUGCAAUGUAAUAUCAUAUAAGGAAAAAUUAAAAUAUAUUCUUGUUCCAAACUGCAAGCCAGUUGAAUAAGAGCGGGCUAAUUUGUGUAUCAUUCUAACGUUGUUUUGAUCACAUAUAUGACGCAAAAUCAAUUACUGAUUGAUCAUAGUUAUAUACCACAUGAUCACUUCUAAAUUUUUUUUUUUUUUGAUUAAAUAGGGAUAUAUACCCUAUUUGAUAAAGGGAGUACAAAUUAAAACAGCGAAGCUGCUCAUUGAGCUAGCUUUAGGAAGUAUAUCUGAACCACUAAUAACAAGGGUAAAAACAAUUAAAACGAAGCACACAUAGGACCCCAAAAUGGAUUCCCAGCGCUUUACGACUGAAACAACAAUCGUUCCCAGUUCUUCGUACGUAGAGUGGUGAUUGCUGAAGAUCCGUGAAUUCCGCUCUUAAUUUCCAAAGUUCCCAAUAGGCUCCAACAAAGCAUAGGUCGAAAAGUGCUCUUGCUGCUCCCGACAAUGACUCUUUGCCGUGCGUCCAUCUGGUCGAGACGUCCCCAACUCGGUUGGCCAUUAAUUCAGCAGUGAGUGGGGUGUUAGAAAGGAGCAGAUUCCACAGGGACACUUCUAAAUUUUAGAAAAAAUUUCCUAUAAUGCGUAGAUUUGAGUUUUGAAAUACAACUAAACUAUAAAUAAACCUCAUUUUGUGAUGAAAUUGGGGGAAACCUUUCAACCUUAACUAUGUAACUUAUCUAAGAAAUCCUUAACUGCACUUAUGCUGAUACAAGCAUUUAUCAAUUUUAUAUGGUUAUCAUUUAUUAACUGAAUUUAAUCAGAUUUAUGUAGUUACAAGCGUUAGUGUGUUAUAAUUUAAAGAAUCUGAGAGGCUUGUAAGGGAAGAAGCUUUUUGGGCUGCAGUAUAUAUAAUUGAAGAGCAAUGCUAUCUAUCCAUUUAUAAAUUAGGUGUAAAUUUUACAUCCCAUGCACUAAUUGAAAGGUUUUAUUUUUAAUACAAAAAAUAUAAAAAUCAUAAAUCUUAGAAUAGAUGAGGUGUAAGAUUUAAAUCUGCAUAUAGAUGUAUAGAUAGUGUUUUCUGUAACUGAAUGGUUUCUUAUUCUACUCAGAAUAAUUAUAAAUUAAUCAUUGACCAAUGAUAGAACAUACGAGGCUCAUUUUACUACUGGUAAAUGAAUUUGUUAAAUAUAAAAAUAUUUAAACACCGUUCUCUACCAGUUUAAGUUUUUAAAGAAUAACGGUUAUUUCGUAUUAUUUAAUAGAAUUAUUAAAUAUGAUUAUUAUUUUCUUACUAAUUAAAUACUAUUGAUUGAAUUUUUCAAAAUAUAUAUAUAUAUAUUCUGAACACAAAUUGUCACAAAAAAUGAAGUGCUAGGACAAAGCUUAUAAAAUCGCAUGGCAGUGCUAGGGAUGGAAACAGGACGAAUCAUCUGAAUCUGAGGGUGGAAAAGGUUCUCCUCUUUGGAUGAAUUCGCGACGGAUUGUUUUUUAUUUUUUUUAUCUUUAUUUAUAACUUCAUUCGGAAUCGAUAAGAACCAACGAAUCUUUGGUAAAUUUUUAGCAGAUCGAAAUGAAUCCCGAGAAGAAAGAGUCUCCUAUCUUCUGCUUUAUUUUUUAUGUUCUAUUUUUUGACAGAAUAGGAUGGAUUUUGAACGAGUUAUUCUUUAUUUUUUUGGCGACGAAGCCUGACUAAAUAAGCACUCCACCAUUCCGAAUGCAUUUGCAUCCUUAGUUGACAUGGCUAAAAAAGUACUAGUCAACAUCAAAACAUGGGGCGCGACGUUGGGUUCUCUGGCCAACGUAAAAACAUGUUUUACAUUUGAGCAACUCAAAUUCAACGUGACUUGAUCAACCAUCUCUCUCUCUCUCUCCAAGCAAACAUGCCCUCUCCAUGAACCACUAAUUAAAAUAAAAAAAAUGCUGCGUAUUAUUUUCGAACCCACAUUGGACUAGUUCAUGAUGGAUCAGGAAUUUAAUGAAGCGUUACAAAAAAGAAUUUAAUUAAAGAAAAUUUAUUUGUAGAAAUUAGAUUCUUAUAAUAUAUAAUAUUUUCAUGUUUGGUUUAUCCAAUAAUCUUAUAUAAAUAAUAGUUGUCGCGCGAGAGAGAGGAGGAACAAAUUAAUGUAAAAUAUAAAACAAAGUUUCCUCUACAAAGAGAAGAGUACAAUUACAUAAAAUGAACAUGGCCAAACCCAAUUUUAUUGGGCAGUGGCUUAUUAAUUAUCAUUUUUAUUAAUUACUGAAUAUCAUUUCGAAAGAAUUCACCCGCCCACCCACACAUUUCUUUUUUUAAAAAAAAAACGAAAAUGUCACACAUGAUCAUUUGUUCUUAGUUAACUAAUCUGCAGACCUUUCGAAUCUCCCCCGCCGCACCCGUCAACGGACAAAUGUCCCCCAUCUUCACCAUCGCCGCCGCGAAGUCGGCGUAAAACGCGGCCUGGUUCGCGCUGUAAACCCUCACAAUGUCGUCGGUCGCGCCUCCGUUAAACAGAACCUGGUCCGAGUGCAGGAGCCCCUUCUCCUGCAGCAGAUUCUUGUAGUAGUUGUUGUCGAACGAAUACGGUGUGACCAAAUCGAGCGGGGCGAGGUUGCAGUCGCCGCCCGCGGAAGGGCACCGCCAACGCCGUGUGCUCGCGAACCCCGCGUCGAUGUCGGUGUCAUUGUAGAUGUGGUCACGGAACGAGACACAUCGGGCUAGGCCGAUAGUGUGGGCACCUGCAAUGGAUUUGAUUUUGUUAAUUAUUAAUCAAUAAUUAAGUAGAGAUUGAUUAAGUUUAGGGAACUUAGUAAUUAGUUAAGUACCUGAGAGAGCAACCAUGUCUUUGACACUAAGGCCCUGUCGAGCGAAGAUAGAGACGAGUGCGUCGAGGUCGUUGGUAGCGUUCGGGAGGUUGGCCCGAGCCAAGUCUUUGUUGGCCGUCGUCGAGUCUCGUCUUCCUAGCUUAACCGUCCAUGUCGGACCGCCAACCUGUUACAACAUUUAUGUAUCAAUCAUCAAGUUUAAGUCGUGAUUAUAAGCUCGCGCAUUUUGAUUUUAUCGUCUGUUUGGCCUAACUUCUAAAAUAACUUUAUCAUCUCUUUUUAAAUAGUACUUCAUAGAAUCUUCAGUCGGGUGAUUGAACAAGUACUCGUGAAAAAUACAUGCUAGCUAGCUAGCACUUACAUAUUCAGAAGAGUCUCGUGCGACGACUGCGAGGAUGUCUGCGCACGACACGACCCCCGGGCACACCUCCUCGACCGCAGACUUCACGCUGUCGAUCACUUCGAAGCCCCUCAGCGACUUGAAACUCUGGAACGCAUUCUUCUCGCUCACGAUGUUCGGAGCAUCGUCGAGCAGAAGCGACGCAUCGCAUCCCUAAAACCACACAUGCAUCAUUUCAAACUCAUUAGAAAUCGACCACAAUUUUUCCUUCUAAAAUAGUGUAUAUAUAUUUCGACGCGCGGCUGUAAUACUACUUACUUGGACGAAGCAGUCGUGGAAGUGGAGGCGGAUGAGCGAGGCCGCCAUGCGGCGCUCCUUGGCGAUCGCGGCGCGAACGGCGGCGCGGAUCGUCGAGAGAGCUUGUGGGCAUGCGUAGUCAUAGUAGUUUGGUGUAAGUUGUGCUUCACAAGAGAAAGUGGAGAGCAGCAGCAAUAGAACAGUGGCAGCAAAACAUGUGGUAAUGUGGAAACUACAACCCUUAGAACUCAUUUUUUUAGGGUUCUUUGAGUCUCCAAAUAUGUGUAUAAGAGAGAGAGAAAUAGAGAGAGAGAGAGAGAGAGGUGUUUGUAAAUGUGAGGAUCAGUACUGUGAGAAGGUGUUGCAGUAGAGGAUUGAGUGGAGAAGGAAACACAAAUAGCAAAUUUAUAGAGUGCACAAAAUGUUCAACAAGAAACUUUCAAUAGGACAAAUUAAUUAAGGUUUGUCCCGGUCUCUACCAAACAAAAAUUUAUUUAUUUGUCUCAGUCCUGAGAAAUUAUUGGUCGCACGCGGUUUAUCUUUACGUCUCAUGCGCCACUUUCAAAUAUUUACUACGUGAUAUUUUAAAAUCAAAUUUUAAUUCGAGAAAUGUGAUUGAUCAUCAUAUAUAUCUACUGACCUAUCAGAUAGUCGCAAAAAAUUGAUAGCAUAUAGAAUUUUUUUUUUUUUUUUUUUUUUUGAGAGAUAGAUUACACGCUACUCGCUUUGUUUAUUUCAUUUAAAAAUAAAUUUAGCUAGAAAUGUGGAUCAACUAGGAAUCUAGGAUUUGAUUGCAUAAGAACUAUAUAUCUAUAGUUGUACGUUUUGAUUGUAUAAGAACUAUUUCUAAUAAAUUAAACUAAAUUUGAGAUCUCUGAAAUAGAAUUUUAAAUGUGUAGAUGUACAAAUGCACGGAGAGCAACCAAUAAUUUCUCUUGCUGGUCUGAUAGCGAUAUGAAUUUUAAAAAUCAGGUUGAACAGCAACUCGAAAAUAUUACUGGGUUAUUGGUUCAACCACACUGAUGGAACCAAUAACAUCAAAAUAUUUAUUUUUUUUUUAAUUUUAUUAUAUAUAUAGAAUUAGACUACUAUACUAUUUAUAGUACCGGAGCUCCGAUACUAUAGUGUUGUUUUCGAUCUUAGGGUGCUCAAAUUAACAAUUCAUACCGUUAAAUAUGAUCUAGGGUAUAUCAAGUUCUUAGAAAUAAAAUUUUAGUUUUUUUUCGAUAUUGUUUAUUUAGUAAAUAAAUUAUGUCAAAAUGGACGGUGGAAAUUGAAUAAUCUUUAAAAUUUGAGUAUAGGAUUUUAAAAUUCAAGAUCAAGAAUAUUAACCUUAAUCUAGAUAAUUUAAAAUAUUUUUUUAUCAAAAUUUGAAGAAAUCUAGAUUCUUCUACACCGUUAAACUCCAAACUCGCCAUAAUAGCCAUUAAAAAUUGACAAUUUUGAAAUGGUUUGAUCAUAAAGUAAACUAUAUCGAAAAAAUAUAAAAUUUUAUUUCUAAAAACUUUAAAUACCUUAGAUCAGUUUUAACGGUGUGGAUCGUUGAUUUAAACACCCUAAAAUCGAAAACGAAACUAUAGUACCAAAGCCCCGGUACUAUAUAUAGUAUAGGAGACUAGCUAUAUAUAUAUAUAUAUAUAUAUAUAUAUAUAUAUUAUUGUUCUAAUAUCAAACUAAAUACAAAAUACAAAUUUUCAGACUAAAUUAAGUAAAUGUAAGUUUUCAAGUUUCACUUUUCAUAAUAGAAAAUAAAAUCAUCAAAACCAGUCAUAAGUAAAACUAAUAAGAAAAAAAAGAUAAAAAUCAAAAAAAAAUUAAGCCAAUAUAUUCAGAAGUGGACCGAUUCACUGGUUAAAAGAGAAAGAACUGUUUAAAACUUUGAAACUUCGAAUGACGAAUUGUAAUUCAAUAGAAGUUCAGAUAAUUUGAAAUUUUCUUUUUUUAAAAAAAUUAGAAGUGUUAGUUGGGAGCAAGAACAUUUCUUUUUCAAAUUUUAGAUUUUCAGUAAAGAUUAGUUCCAGUCUUUUUUUUGACGAGGCUCUUCAUUUUGAAUCACACAGCAGCUAAUUGUUCAAAUAGAGUCAUGCACGUGCUGUAAUGGCGUGUGGGAAGUGGUCUUUUAUGUGACAGUUGCAUUAUAUUACUAUAUUUCAAGCCAAUCAACUUUUUUUUUUAAAAAAAAAGUUAUUAAUAUAAAUUAUUUUUUAAAAAUUAUGAUGGAAUGGAUAAACAUCAGGGCAGAAUUUGAUUCAUUCGGGAUAUAGAUGAUGUUGUGCUUCUGAUAUAUAUCAUGUGGAUAUAUUUUAUGUCAGCCGAAGGAAGAGAGAGAUUGAGAAUUAUUUAUUUCAUUUUGUUACUUGAAAGGAAAAGGAUAAUUUAUAUUGGAUAUAAAAAGAAAGAGAACUACGUAAGAAGGCCAGAAAAUUAUACUCCGAGUAUGUUUGUUCUACCAAAAGUGAAGAGGGGUGAACCAACCUUUUACCGUAAAUACAAAUUUUUGUUGUUGGAUUUAUCGUAACUUCACUUUCGAUCUCUUCAAUUUUUAUCAUGUUAACUUUUUACUGAAUUAACAAAUGAAAUUGGAGGGACUGCAGUUCUACAAGUACACAAAGAAACAAUGAAAUGGCUGUGAAUCUAUCAAUUCCUUAUCCUUCCAUGUUUACCUGACCUUCACUUGUACUGUUGUAGAGUCCCCAGAUUUACCUGACCUUCACUUGUACAAAUUCCGCAUUUCUGCUGCUCAUUUCUUUUAAAUUAUUGUAACAAAAUAAGAUAAGCUUAUUAAGUUAGAGAAUUCAAGCCCAUAAUUACCUACCAGAUCUUCUCUUUAUUUCACAUGGCAAUAUUAAUUAAUAUAUUUUUAUUUUUAAUAAAAUUCUUUUAAUCCAAAUCACUCUGAGGUGUUACGACUAACUAAUCAGACCUAAUCCGACCCAUUCUUAACCCAAACCUGGCUUUCCCGUUUACUAAAAGAACCGAAUAUGAGCCACAACUUGAGCUUGAUUUGUUAAACUAGCCGAGUACAAAGCGGCAUAACUCGCUCAAGCUUGGCUUAGAAAUAUCCUGACAUUCCUAUGAAUAUUUUGAAGUGUUAGUGCCUUGUAUGUUUUCUUUGUUUUCUUAAACCUUAGUCAAGCUAUAUGCCACCUGUAAUAAUUAAGACUUGAGCCAACAAUUCGAGGUCGAGCUUAGACUACGAAAACUUUCAGCUACAAUUUGGUAAAGAGCCGAGCUCGAGCUUGGCUCUUUACCAAAUUUCCCACUCGAGCAAGGCUCAAUUACACUUUCGUACAUAUAAUAAUAAUAAUUGGCUAUUUUCAAGAUGUCACUACUUUCGGCAUCUAUUUUUUUACUCAACAAACGACUGCCUACCGCAGCGCAUGAGUACAGUGUAACAAGGCUUUGGAAGAAAUAUUGCAGUAGGAUUGAUAGCCGCACUUACUAAACUUUCAGCUACAUGAUGGCAAUCUAGCUAGAAAAAAUUAGUAUUAUCUUUAAAAGACGAGACUCAAGCGCAGCUCAAGUUUUUCAUCGUAUACAUUCAUUUACACUGGAUUAUUUUAACCUUUCUUCAUCUAUGUUGUCAAGUUCCUACUAUUUUAUGAAUGAAUAAUAGUUUGCUAUUUUAUUCUAAAAAAAUAAUUAGGCAAAUACAUGUCCAAAUUAACAUGGAAAACUCUCUCUCUCUCUAUAUAUAUAUAAUAGAUCUUGUGUGUUAUUAGGAGAACGAAAGCCUCCGUGUUCCUGAGCCGUUUUCGAUAACGAAGCUUUCAAAUCGACAACCGAUUCCGUUAGACGAUCUACUGUAUUUGAAGUGUCUAGAAAAUAAAUUUUACGAAUUUUCGAUCAUUUAUCUAGCUAUCAAAAGGGUUCAAAAUAAACGGCUGAAAAUAAAAAUUUUACAAAAAAUAAUAAUAUAACACUAAAAUUUUCGAUUAGAAAUAUUAAUUUUGAACCCUUUCGAUCGCUAGGUAAAUGAUAUCGAAAAUUCGCAAACUUUAUUUUUUGAAUACUUCAAAUACAAUAGAUCAAAUCUAACGAAGCCGAUCGUUGAUUCGGAAACUCCAUUAUUGAAAACAGCUUAGGAGCACGGAAGACUCCAUGCUUCUAAUAGCACAUAAGGCCUUAGGAGCACGGAGGACUCCGUUCUCCUAAUAGUAUAUAAGGCCUCUAUAUAUAUAUUAUAUAGGAAAGAAAGAGGGCUCAUACAUAUCCCAAAGAGAAACUUUUAUUGAGUGCCAAGCUAAAGCCACAGAGAGAAUUAUCAACCUCAAUGCAACAGAAAAAACAACCACUCGAAUUAAAUUACAUCCGGGAUAUCUGAAGGGGAACCAUAACUUCAGUACUCAUCUCCUCCCUCAGAACAAUCUGGAAGAGAUCAGAGAUACCGUGGAGCAGCGAGAGCCGCCUUCGGCAGUCCUCCGCAGCCGCGAUACCCGAUGAGUAGGCCCCGUGAACAGACCCAGAAUGAUCGACACUGGCGGCCUCCCCGGCAAAGUACAAGUUGUCCACAGGGGCGCAAAACCUUUCAUAUAAGUCGGCUGGCUUUCCUACUAAGUCGCACGAAUAGGACCCAAGCGAGUCUGGGUCCGUCCCCCAGCGCGAGAAUAAGUAUUGAAUCUGCAAUAAAUCAUCAACAUUUUCAAUUUUAUUAAGGAGAACAGCUUCGCAGUAAAAAAUUUGGUAGAAACUUAGCCCCGAAGGUUCAACCCUGAUUUUCAAGCACUUGUCAGAGUUGAUUAAAUAAUUUAUCAUCCGAAGUUUGUCUGCAUAACAAUUAAGUCCAUGUCAGCAUCAUCUGCUGCCAACGUGAAUCUUAACAAUGUCACUGAACUUCUAUAAAUUAUGUAAAGUGGAAUCUUCUCCAAGAUGAUAGACAGGCGGGGCUUAAUUGUUACGCAUGGCGAAUAAUAAGAUCUAGAUUAAUAAUU
rnacentral:lncRNA from 1 species